rnacentral:lncRNA from 1 species
UCUCUCUAAGGUUUGAACAAGAAGGUAGAGCUUGAAGUCUUCCACCCAUGGAUCCCCCAUAGUUGUCCCCUAAUUGAGAGUCAAAAACCCAAUUUUGAGUUAGGGUUGUGCUUGUAUUGUGGGCAGUGUAUGGGUGUGAUUUCAAACUAGUAGAUAUCACCCAUUUAUGAUUGAUUUAGAUUUGUUUAGUGAUUAUAUGAUGAAAUUAUGUGAUUUGAAUGGUUAACCCUAGCUUUCUUGUUGAAUUUCAUGAUUUAUGGGUUGAUGUCAUUAGAGGUAAAAUUGAAGGUUCAUGAGUGACCUUCUUGAAUUUUUGUUUUGUAUAGAAAUUGAUCAAAGUUAGGAUGACCUAAUUAUGAAUUGAAUUAGACCUAACUGAUUAUGAUUGAUCUUGGCUAGUGAUGAUGAGUUUGAACCUUUAUGGUCAAUUUUGAUAAGAAUCAUCUAGUAUGAGGGUUAUGACUAGAAAACCUUGAAGUUUAGCUAUAAAAAAGAAAUUAAGAGAUAAACGUUGAGAGUGAGGUUAUGAUAAUGAUAGUUAGGAUAAUAUGAUUAAAUAUUGAUAUAAAGGCUUUGAGAGUAAAGUAUAAAAGAGAAUAAGAGCCUAAUAGGUUGGAUAUGGUGAAAGGCCUAUACUCACAUAACCUACCUUAUGAAAGCUUGAAUAUAUGAAGUGAUAGAAUCACUUGAGCAUGGUUAGAUUGUCAAGGACAUCCUUCCAUGAGUUAUGAUUAAGAAAGGCUUAACAAAUAAACCUUGGAGUGUAUGCUUGGCUCCAAGUGAUUAUUGAAAAUGAGAUGGGGUGUCACACAAGAAAGGGUCUGAGUUCCAAUUAGAAAAGAGAACUACACCUAGUUGAUGUGAGGACUAGUACAAGGAGGAACUCUUACGUAGUAGAGUGUGAGUUUUACCAUAGUAAGACUCAUGAGAUGGGAUUCUUCACGUAGUUGAGUCAAGAUUCCUAGUAGCAAUCUCCAUACCCAUGAACUAAGACAUGCUUUAGAAACAUUUCGUAGUGUUAAAAGUAUAAUGAACUAAGACAUGCUUAAGAAGCACUAUGAAUUAAGACUUACUUAAUGAAGUAACUCAUAGUGUUCUAAAGUGUAAAUAGACUUUGACAUGCUUAAGAUAACAUCUCAUAGGGACCAUAUGAAGAAGGAACUUAGAUAAACUUUAGAGAGUAUAUCACAGAUUUCAAACUGUUAUGAGGAUAGAUAUACUUAGUAAGUAUCUUAUAGUAUUCAUGCUAGUAAUGAACUCAGCCGUACAAAAAAAAGGUAUAUCAUAGGGUCUAAGUUAUAAAUGAACUAAGAUGUGCUGCAGAGAGUACCUCCUCGUGUACUAAAUAUAAAAAGAGGAACUAGGUUCCAAACCAAGAAGUCUUAGGAAAAGGACCUAAAAGUACAUGAUUAGUAUUAUGAGAUGAUAUGAUUGCCUUGCACAAGUAUGAAGUAUGAUGUAGAGAUUACUAAAUGGAGUAAGUUAAGAUAGGAUUGUGCCAUAGUUGUGUUCCUUGCUAUAGUUGACUAAAGGUGAGAGAUUCCGUUAGUUAUGAGAAGUUAAGUUAUAAUGAGACCAAAGUAGUGUGAAUAUGACUAGGAUGACUUCAAAGUUAUGCUUAGGGUGAAGGGUAGUAUGAGAUGCCCUUCAUGCAUUGCACAAGUGUGUUUUGAGGUUAUCUAGAAGUAUGCUGCCCUUACGGUAGUGAAGCCUAAAGACUUAGUCUAUUAAUGUAGACUAUGAUCAAGAGGACCAAAAAGGAAUACAUAACUUGAGUAAUAUUAUGGGAUGCUAUUCUUGUCUUGCACUUGUACACUUUUGAGGUUACUUGAGAAUGGUGCUACUAUACUAUAGAUGACUAAGAGUCAGUUAUGUAUCUAUUAUGCUUAUGAUGAUUAAUUGGCUUAUUAUGAUUAUGAUGUAUCACCACGCUUAUUUAUUAUGAUUUAUGUUGAUUUAGGUCUAUAUGAGGCUUAUAUGAAGAUUAUGCUAUGACUAUGAUGAUCAUGUUUAUGUUUAUGUCUAUGAUUAUUAUUUUUAUCACUAAUGAUUAUGUCUUAUGUCUACUAACUAUUUUGAGAUGUUCUUAUUAUGUGUGUUAGCUUCCAUAUUUAGUACGUUUUGUACUAACACAUAUUGCCUACAUUCUAAUCAAAUGUAGGGCUUGGAGGCUAGAUUGCUUUGGAGAUAGGUUCCUAGAAAGCUGAGGAAGAUUGAAGACUUGGUGAGUCCUCAUAGUUUCGAGGACGAACCCAUUUCCUUUAUUAUGUCAUUUUCUUUGUGCUUAAGACCUUCUAUGGGUUGCGUCCCAAAGUUUAUUAUUCAAGUCAAGUUAGAUGGUUUUGAGACAUUGUGUAGAAAAAAUUUCGGUUUGCAUUUUUAUGAAAAUGACUGAGAUUGUUGUUUAAAAGUUUUAAGAUUUCUCUGGAUUUUGUAUUAGCUUAUGUUAUGAAUAUGCCAAGGGCUUGUAUGAGAACCUUUGGGGUCAAGUAUGUCGUUUCAUGUCUAGGGGAUGCUCUUGGGUCGUGAUAAUUUUUUUCUCAAAAUUUUUUAUGAGGAGCUCUGUAAUAUGUUGGGGAACCACCUUGUAUACUCACACCAAUUUUUAACUCCUUAUUCUGCAUUUACAUGCCUUUUUAGAAAUUAUUCCAAUUCGUGUGCUAUAACCCAUGAAUUUGACGCUCCGUAGCAUUCAAUAUUUUUUUUCUCAAAAAUAUUUUUAAGAUCUCCGUAAUGAGGUGGGAAACCACCACGUACACUCACACUAUUUUUAUCGUCUAUUUCCGCAUUUACAAGCCCUUUUUAGGGAUUGCCCAAAAAUCUUGACUUUUCUUGUGUAAUAGCCCAUGGAUCUAGCGCCCAAAGCACCCAAAAUUUUUUCUCAAAAAACUUUAAGAGGACCUCCGUAUUGAGUUGGGGAACCAACAUGUAUACUCACACCAUUUCUUUAACGCUUAUUUAUGCAUUUACAUGAUAUAUUUUUAGGAACUACCAAAAAUCCUUGAUUUUUUUUGUGUAACCUAUUAAUCUGGCGCCCCCGGAGCAUCAAUUUUUUUGUUAAAAAACAUUAUGAUGACCUCCUUAAUGAGUCAGGGAACUGCCACGUAUACUCAUACUAUUUUUAACACCUAUUUCCUCAUAUACAAGCCUCUUUUUACCAAAAUUCCAUAUUUUAUGUGUUAUAAUAACCCAUAAAUCUGGCGCCCGAAGCACAAAUUUUUUUUCUCAAAAAAUUUUAUGAAGACCUCCGUAAUGAGUUGAUGAACCAUCACGUAUUCUCAUACCUUUUUAACACCUAUUCCCAUAUUUAUAGGUCAUUUUUUAGAAAUUAACCAAAAUCCUCGAUUUAUUAAUGAGUUAUAUAUAGCCCAUAGAUCAAACGGCCCGGAGCACCCAAAUGUUUUUCUAAAAAACAUUAUGAGGACCUCUGUCAUGAGUUGGGGAACCACCAUGUAUACUCUUACAAUUUUUAACACCUAUUUCCCUAUUUAUAUGCCCAUCUUUUUUUUUUCUUAGAAAUUAUCAAAAAUCCCCGAUUUUUCGUGCGUUAUAGCCCAAGGAUCUAGCACCUAGAGCACCCAAAAAUAAUUUCUCAAAAGUUUUGAUGAGUACCUCCGUAAUGAGUUAGGGAAUUUCCAUGUAUACUAACACCAUUUUAACGCCUAAUUCUGCAUUCAAAUUGUAAGAUUUCCUAAGAAUCAAAUCACCAUGCAUCGCAGUGACCAACAUUUUCUGUAUAUCCACUGACCAAAAAAAAAACAAAAAAACCAACACAAUUUCAUUUAAUUUUCCUUCAAACUAUUGCUGAUUUGCGAAGAGUCAGGAAGAGAAGGGCUGUGCCUUUAAAGAAUUGGAAGUCCUAAACUAAUUUAACAGUUAUGGACAUAAAUUAACAGAAGAGGGGUAAAGUGUAGAUUAUGUACAUAAUGUACAAUAUACAGAUGGAAAAUUACUUGGAUCCUUUAUAUCGUUCUAUAUUUGUCUCAGACUACUUUGAUGAAGAAGAUGCACAGAGCUCCGACCUUGUUCUUUUGCUUUGUCAAUUGUAGAUAGAAGUACCCGCAGGAAGUCUUCUGCUUCAUCUUUUGAUGUGAAAACCAAAUUAGUCUGGAGUAGCGGAAGCGAUGUGCGAGGAUUGUUGUUCCAUCUCUUUCCCUUUGGUCCCCAGCUUCUUUUAUGUGAGAUAUGGUUCUGUCUUAACAAUGCGUCUGAGCUACUUCCCACAAUAUGUACCUCAUCAUAGUCGUUAUCAGCAUGAAUUACACUAUCCAUCCCAAUUUCUGUUUCUACCAGCCACUCUGGGCUAGCAGGCACUCCUUGAAACUCGGGUAUUCUGUAUUUUACUAAACUGGGGCAAGACACGAUUAAUAUAAGUCUCUCAGUGAGGAUAACAAACUUCCCAUCAUGUCUAAGAGCUUUACACACUACUAAUGUUUCUUCUUUGAGCUUAACAUGGUCCUCAGCCUCUCUAAGUACAGAUACUCCAAUUGCUUCUUCCCAACAAUAAGGCCGUAAAGGAAGUUCUCUAUUUAAAUGCCUUGGCAAUCGGACCCUAAAGCGAUGAGAUCCCAGAUUAUGCAGUUUGCUCCGAUUUCUGAUGCUUUGUGCAGUUUUGCCGGUGAUAUCAAGGAUACUGGCUGCUGGUCUUGCCACCAGUCCAGUCACUCCAAGAGCUAUACCUGCAAGAAAAAACAUAUUAUUUAAGAGAAGUCCUUUCACUUCCCAGGAGCUUCAAUUUUCCAGCAAUAGUGACCGGAAGAAUAGCAUAGAUAAACUUGAUACCUGAGAGAACUCCUGGAAGGCCAUGUCUCUCUGCCCCAUUGAUAGGUGAUUGCAAUAGACCAGUCAGACCCUACAAAUAAAAAAUCGGGACCAAUUUUUUAAAAUAUUAUUUUAAUGAAGGAAUAAUUUUAUUAAUAAAAUGGGGAAACUCCCAUAUAAAGUAAUAAACCAAAAAAGAGAACCUACAAAAGUAGAUGGUUAUCUACCAUGGUCAGACAGUCAUCCGCACAAAUAGAAAUCUCACGAGUGUAAAAAUAACAAAAUACCCAGUGUAAUCCCAACUUGGGAAAGAAAUACCAAAGUGAAGAAGCAACCACAAAAUAUUGAAGAUAGCAUAACAAAGCCUUCUAACAAAAGAACGAUACUACAACAAAAUGAUACUAUAGUCGAAGUAGAAGAAACAACAGAUAGUAACAUAAAUGGAAGGCCAGGAAGCUAUUAUGACUACUAGUAUGAAAGGGUAAGUGAGACAACACAACUAUCUACGUUCCCUAGACCCUAAUAUGUUUCCUUCAUAACCUCCUAUCUAAGGUCAUAUCCUUGGUAAGCUGAAGUUGCGUCAAGCCCAUGCAUCUAUCUCAACAUUCUCAUAUUUGCAACUUUCAGCUUUUAAAUAUGAAAAUUGCUGACUGACAAAUACUCUGCCCCAUACAACAUUAUUGUUCUAAACCACUACUCUGUAGAACUUACCAUUAAGUUUUGGUGGACCUUCUUAUCACACAGAACUCUGGAGAUGAGCUCCAUUUCAUCCACCUUGUACCAAUACAACGUGCCAUCAUCAUUAAUUUUCCCACUAACUUGAAUUUUGGCUUGUCCAUUUAGUUUCUAUCCAUAGUUUCGUAGUGAUGAUCCGCUGGAAUACUUGUCCUCCCAAUUUCAGGAGUUUAUGACUCACCAAGGAAUAAUUCACCAUAACAGAAUGGUGUAAAGGAAGAAUAAGCAUCUCAUUGAAACUAUUCACACUUCUCAUUGAAUCCCAUGUUUCAUUGUAUUUUUGGGGCAAUGUAGUUCUUGCGUCUUAUUAUUAAUAGAAUACUUUGAUCUUCUAUUCAGAAUCAGGUUCCACAUUCCAUACUAUUUCCUCAGUCACAUCUCUACUCUAUCCCCCCGUGUCUUUGGGAGAACAUGCUCAUAACUUAGCCUAAAGAAAGAUGAAUUAUCCCUCAUGCUUUCAAAUGUGUCUUUCAUGAUUACUCUCAAAUUCUAAAAGGGUAUCAUUGUUAUUUACUUGGUCUUAAUCGAAGUAUUUUUUUAGAAAGAUAAUGUUGUAUUCCCCAGCAUUAAGGAUAUGAUGGAGAUAGACAAUUCAGUAAUAUUUUUCUCCUAUAUUUCUCACAUUUACUAAAAACAAAACAACCAGAAAAUGUUAUAAAACGGUGACCCAUUCCCUAUCCCGGGUUUCUGGACAUAAAGCACCAACUUGAUGAACACUCAACAGGGUUCUCUUGAUGAACACUUCAUUUCCCUCUUUUGACAUAUACCUCUUUUGCCACCCUGCAAGUCUUCUUUCAACCCUUUCUUAGGUAUGAAUAGCAAACAAGAAAUGAAUCAAAAUUGCAAGACAUUAACUUUCAAUAAACGCUAAUCCUUCUUUAGCGCCUAGCGGUGACGUCUUGACACACAUGAGAUACAGUGAGACUCCAAGUAGCUAUAGUAUUCUAAAGGCGUGAAGAGUUGAAGGUAUAAAAGAGGAAGUGAAUAGGCCUCUAUGCCCAUGCGACUAAGAACUGAAAAUAACAUACCUCAAAAAAUUCAUUUAUCACCCCUUUGCUAUGGGUUGAUAUUCCCUUCUGGUGUCUUUCCAUAUUUCCGACAGCCUGAUCAUCAAAAGUAAAUGCCACGAUACCCUACAAGAUGAAGUAAAUUAAUAUGAGGGUCAGAUAACACACAGAAUUGAAAAUGUUGAUUGACGCAAAAGUACCUUGUGUGCAGCUUUGCUGAAUUGGGUGGCAGCAUCACUUAAGGCAUAGACGGUGUUACUCAAAAGACUAGCGGUCCCUUGUGCCAUGCCUUUAAUUAACCCUGCACGAGUCUGCAGAAAGAAGUGGGUUUACAUCUAGUUGGAAGGAUAAAAGAGCAGAAAAUGCACAAGGUACCUGGAAAACACUUUGUACAGGAGCUGACAAGAAAUCUUUGAGGCCAAGACCCAUGCUCCUUGCAAACCCCAUAGGAUUUCCGAUAACUCCUGCUGAACCAAAUACCUGCAGCAAACUACCAUUUAUCACUGUCCAUAACCACUAAGACCAUUGCAAGAAACAAAUUGUCCAGUUAAUAAAUGAACAACUAUCAGAUUGAAGAUAAUAAAUCGAAGCUUGGCUCUUUAAAUAAUUUACCAACAUAGGCAAAUGGAUACUUACACGGAAACCAACAAAUUAGUCCAUCUGAAUAGCACUGAGCGACAAAAAACACUUAAUGGGGAAGGUUUUUUAUGAAUCAUUACAAGUAUGACAUCACUACAAAAAUUUGUUAAUUCCACAGUUAAAAGCAAGUACAUUUCCAUACUAUUUUAAGCUGGAGAACUACUUCCAGUUUUAGGUAUUCGGAGAAAUGAAUUGAAGUUCAGAAGCAUUAGUAUUGUCAAUUGUCAGGUCUAGUCAUAGUAAGAUAUCUAGGUUUUCCCACCUGUAAUUUCUGCAGCAUCCCAGGGUUCUUCUCUCUCCUCUUCAAGCUUAUGCUUUUCUCUUAGAGACAUUGCAUAGAGCUUUAAGAGUUAUAGCCAAGGCAUUUGGGAUAGUUGAUAAUGAGAGAUACUAUGAUUUGAAGGAUCUGGAAUGCCUAAAAGAAAGCUAGAUAUUUGAUUUAAAGCCAGAUGCGAUCAUUAGGUGUUACAGCAGAUGAAGAAGAAAAACCGAGCACCAACAAUGAGGUAACUAGUACAAUCUUCUUGAGUAUAACACCACAGAAGUUCCCCACACAGCAUGCAAUCGAGUUGGUCCCUCAACAGAUAAUUUAAAGUUGGAUUCUCAAUCUAUUAAUCUACCCACAAAGUUCAGAGUAUAUUUUGGUCCAACCAAUUAAAUAUAUUUUACAUUUAAAUUUGAUAGGUAAGAUAAGCUCUUCUCCCCUUCUCUUUACGUCCUAAAAGCAAAACAGGGAAUCUCUGCCAUGCCAGCAAAGACAGACAGUGGAGAAAACUCUUCCACCUAAAACCAGAAAACCAGUUGAGAAUGGGUAACAAUGUCUAAAAUAUCCACUGAGAAACUUAGGCUGUUAUUGGAAUAAACUCUCUUCACACACCUUUCACAUUUAAAUACAAAUUGAAUAUAAUGAGACUUGAAGCUUGUUCUAUUCCAAUGAAGCUCACAUAGCAAGACCAGGUAUGUAGUGCAAGCAAAGCCUAGACCUUUUGCCGACUCAACUCCUCAAGCUUUAUACCGGGAUCUGAAAUUCUGCUUGACAUAUGAAUCAGAAGUCAGAACUGGGAUGCUCUAGCCUAGACCUGAUAUUCAAGGCGCAGUCUGGUUUUGCCCGGAGAAGUAUCAAGAACAAUGUUUUCUUUUAGAUUAAGAAUGUGUGAGUUAAAAUUCUCCAACUCUUCUACUGAAACUAGUCCACUGAAAUCCCUAGCAGAUAUGAGAGAUCAUGUUAGUGAUUAAGCCUGACGACUCUUAAGUACUCAAAUUUUCUUUCAAAGGGGCUCAAGAAGAGGUAAUGGAACUGCAACAGAGUGGUGCACACACUUCUGACAGGAUUUCAGUCAAUUGAGUUAUACACGAGUGUGAUAAUUUGAAGAGAAAAUUCUCCAUCUACCCAUCUACUGAAGGAGGAGCAGAGGUUAAGUGGUUAAUUACAGGGAAGACAGUUAAAGGUGUACCGAAUUUACCUUGUACAUCUCAUGAAGAAAUUGUCGUGUGUAAUGCUCGGCAAGUAUCUCUUGAACGGAUUCCCAGCUAGCUAGCUGAUGUGAAAGGAUUACUUGUUUAAGGUGAAUUUGUGCUCCCUCGAUAUCAGCAAGUGCCAUAAGACCCCUCUGUGAAAGUCAAUGUCAUAUGUCUUGAGAAGUACAUAUAUAAUGAAUUUUGCGAAGUGAAAAAUUUAGCAAUAAAUAGUAUUUUUAUAAGAUGGUUUCUCAAGCUGAUUAUUACAACUAAGCAUAGAUUAAUAAUUUAGAAAAUCAUCAUGUUUCCACCAUCCUUCAUACAGCCUUACAUGUAUAAGAGAUUCUCCAGAUGUAAGCACUCCAUUUCGAAGCAACCAGGGACUGCUGGAGAAACUACAAAAAGUAGUUCAAUGUUAUAAGCAUACAGUAAAGUCAAUGAAAACAUGAUAUGAAUUACCUUAAAGUCAACUUGAUCGGUGCCACAUCAAACAACUCAACAUAAAUCUUCUUCUGCUUUUUGGCUAGAAGGUGAAUCUGUUGCCAGGGGGCUCCAAUAGGGACUAUCGAAGGUAGCAAAGAGGUCCUAUUGCUGUUUUCUUGAAACAUAGGAAUAUUAACCGAGUAGUAUUCAUUCACAUUUGAUUUCUUGGGUGCCCAAUCUAUGGAGUUAGAGGUGUUCAUAAUUGAAACACCAUCAAAAAGAAGAUGGUCUGUUGCAUUAGAAUGCUGUAACACUCUGCUCUGCAACCUUGAAGAUAACGUUUUAAUAAAAUCAAACAAACUCAAGAUUACAUCCUGAUCAAGUUCAAGAUGACAAUCUGCCACUCUGCAAGAAAAUAGACUAGUCAGGCAGUGAUAAAACAUGAUAGAUGUUGAUAGAGUUCGAGACCAGUACAUUUGUUUUGAAUCAGUUUCAGACCUUAGACUUAUCUGCUCGAAGGAAACAAGUGACAGAUAACGAUUCUUCCAUUUCGUCACCACCAAUGAAAGAACCGGUUCUCGUGAGCUCUCCAAAACACUUUCUGCCCUAAUUCCACCAGUAAUACCGUUACUAACAUCAAACGACAAGAUGACAGGGUAAGGUGUACAUGUUAACUGAUUAUCAAUUUGCAAGGAUGUGAUUUGCAAGGAGAAUCUCUGUUGAUCUACAUUCUGUGUGAAAUCAACUGUGAUGUCUCUUGCACAAGCGAAAAAUAGUUCCUGAAAAGAAUUGGUAUGACAACUCAAAGCAUUUUACAUUGAAUCUUACAAUAAUAAUUUUCACUUACAACCAUAGAAAGUACCUCUGGCAUGGAGCUUAUUAGAGAGAUGCCAACAUACGGAACGUCCACCAAUAUUCUCUCCUUGCAGUCAGCAGAAUUGUCGUGCUUCACUAUCUGGUUUUUAUCUUUAGACUCAUAGAUGUGCGGACCGUUCAAACCACUCAAUACAUGGUAACUUGAAUCAAUGAUGCUCAAAAUCUGUAUUUGUAAAAUAAAACUGUAACUAUAAAACAGACAUGAAAAGAAUGAUGGUCUUGAAAUUUAAAGCAUCAUCAAUGCACCUUGACUGCCCCUUCAGAGUGGACAGACACAAUCAGAGUUCUUUGAGGCUUCUGAAAAAAGUAAGCAGACGUCAUAUGUGUAAGAAAGGUAACUAGAUUAGCAUAUAAAUGGCUGGAAAAAUAUUAAUUAUGUUCUCAUAUAUAAUAUAAUAUAGAGAAUGGUGAUUAAUAUACAGAGAAUGAUAAGGGAACUUGUUACAAAACAAGAUAAGAGAAUGGCAAGGCUAUUAAACCUUAGGAAAGCACUAGUAGAUGAAAGCAACAUAAAAGAACCACAAUGCAGAGAUCAUCAACUACCGACUUUGUACUUUUUUUUGGAUCAGUACAAGAUUGUAGUAUCUGCAAUCCUCUUUUGCACAUAAGCCAGACUUUUAACUUAAUAUAUCCAAGUUCUCCAAUUCACAAGGCAAUAACCUGUCUGCUAUUUUGAGCAAGUAUCUUACAUCAUUUCAGGUGUCAGUGAUUGAAAUCACAAGGUACUUUUUCAGCAUGUACUAAAAAAUAAUGUGACAAAUGCCGACCAGUUGAUAAAACUACCUUCUAUAUGAAGCCAUACAAAAAGUGGAAAACCAUUCACUAAGAACAGAUAUCAUGGAUCUCUUACAAUUGAACAAAACAAGACAAAGAGACAAGUGCAGUUUCUGCUUUCAAUUUAUAUACACACACACACACACACACACUACAACAACAACAAAUAUGUCUUGACUCCAAAUAAGUUGAGAUAGGCUAUAUAAAUUCUCAUUGUCCAUAUUUUAAGGUCAUCUUAAUCCAAUAUAAAAUAUAAAUAGAAGGCACACAAAGUUCUCUAUAUUUACUAUUGGAAUAUAAAUCAUUGACAGUCCUAAAAGAUUUGUAGAAGGCAUUGGGUGUAAACUAAAUAUACUAAGAAGGACGCAUGGUAGACUAAGCUCCCACUAUACGAGGGGUAUGGGGAAGGGCCGGACCACAAGAGGCUAUUGUACACAGCCUUACCCUGCCUUUCUUCUAGAGACUGUUUCCACAGGACGAACGGUGACCUUUUGGUCACAUGGCAACAACUUUACCAGUUACACCAAGACUCCCCUUCAUCGCCUAACUCUAAGAUAAAUAUAUUAACAUGGCUAAACAUAAUCCUAACUAAAUUGUAUCAUCAUCGCCUAUUUGGAUCUUUAUGCUCCAACUUGCCCUAUUUAUCGCUUCAUCUGCAUGGAUGCUAUGAAAGAGAAAUUGAGAUAAAACAAAGCUUGAUUAAUCCCUCAGCUAAUGAGGUUUCAAAUAACUAACUGUAUAUGUUUUAGGGAAGGAGAGAAAAUUAGUACAUAACUACAACAUAAUUAAAAAGAACAAACAAGCUACAUAGUACUCCCUCCGUUUAAAAAAAAAAGACCUAGUUUGACUUGGCACGAAGUCAACAAAAUGAAGAAGACCAUUCAAUCUUGUCAUCCUAAAUUAAAGUUAAGUCAAAUGAAAAAAAUGCCCUUUAAUUUUGUGGCCUUAAGCAUGCCAUGAGGAAAGUUGAAAUUAAAAUGUUUCCACAAAAAAGGGAAGGGGUUAUUCUCUUUGAACCAAACUAUAAAGGAAAAGAGGUCAUUCUUUUUAUUCGAAUAUUCUCUCUCAAGCUAGUGCAUACAAACCAAAUGUACCAAACUUGCUACAUAUACAACGUGUUCUAUACGUGGCAAGGGGCUUGGUGAAUAUAUCAGGGUGUUGAUCCUUUGACUGGUUGAACUUUGUGACAUGUCUUCUGAAACUGCAUCUAUUCUAUGAUGAAAAUGACAAAUCAAUUUCCCAGUGUUAGAGCCUCUCACAAAACAAUGGAUUUGAUUCAUUAUGAAGUAAAACCUGAUUGUCACACACAAGUUCCAUUUAACCGAUCUCUCUAAAUUUCAACUCUUUAUUAGUUGCUUCAUCUAUAUGAAUUCACAUACAGCUCGUGGCUGACAUUCUGCUUCUGAACUCAAUCUAGCAACUACAAUUUGUUUCUUACUUAUUCUAAAACAAUAAAUUUCCCUCAACUACAACGUAUUAUCCAGAGUUGGAUCGUUUGUCAAAGGGAAACCCUGCCCAAUUUGCAUCUGUAUAUCCAACAAAUUACUCUGUCUUUGGGUAACAGUCAAAUCAUUGGAGCAGAUUUUAUGUGUCGACGGAUACACAUAACUGCAUCCAAACGACUGUCACAAGGUGAAUCCAAUAUCUGACUUCUAACAUAUAUCAGGAAGCAAUGUCAUGUUGUUUCACCUUGAGGUAAUUAACAUGCCACCGACCUCCUAUAUCUUCCAGGAUCACUUAGGGACUUCCUAUAACCUGGAAGAAUUUAAUAUUUGGAUCCAUCAGAGUAUCAACAGGCCUACAUUUGACAUUCCUGUCUCAAGAAUAUUAAGAGCGUACUUCCUAUGUGAAGCAACUUAAUUUGAUUAGUAUGAAGGUGCUAAAAGAGGUUAUGUUUCAAUUUGGUAAUUUCUUCUUCAUUAUUACCUGUUCUAACUUUAUCAUCAAUAUACACCAUCAAAUACGUGCACAAACCAGGAACAGAGUUAUGAAACAACAUAGGAUCAGCAAUGUUCUGAUUUUUUUUAAUCAGAAAAAAAAAUCAAAAAUGGAAAAGGUUAUUAACGGGCAUCCUUUUUCUUUGGCUAAGGAAGUGAAAAUCCUUUUUCCACUUUCCAAAUUGAAGAUAAAAUAUAAUCCCUUUUGAAGUACUCCUUUAUCUUGCAUGUUUCCUUUUCAACUGACCAAUAAUCUGAUUGUAGCUCCAUUUAAACGGCUUUAAGGAAUUAAUGAUAAUAUUUGUAGCAAAAUAUUGUUUGUCUUUUGUUACACGAAAAUAUCUUUUUAAGUUAUUGGUGUAUACUGGUCUAACUAGUUCAGACAACAGAAUUGAUAUUUAAGGCAACAUUAGUUUCUAAUUAAUAAUUCAAUUACAGACUUUUUAUAUUUACUAAUUUACACAACAAACCAACAGGUGUUGGUAUUACCAGGCUAUGACAACAGCAAGAAUAGGAUUCGGAUCAAGUAUGAAAAAGUACUAUGGGGAGUACAAACUCUGCUUAAACUUUACAAACUGAAUUAUAAAAAGUGAAUUACCUCAGGAGUGGCAGGUAGGUGAAUGGGUGCAUAGUCUUUAACAUCAUCUAGAGCAUAUGAUCCUAUAACACGUUCCCCCGGGACCUAAAACAUCCAGAGAAAACUUUACGAACAGAGACCUGCUUAAAACCCAUUUAGCUUUUAAAUAUUGCAAAACAUACCUCAAUAGUGAGACGAUGUGGAUAGCAGGGUUCAUCCCACGCAUAAGGGCAAGAAGUGUAGGCAUGUACCAUAGUUUCAAAUGUUUCACACCUUUGUUGAUAAACACGUAGCCGCUUGAACAAACAAAGAAGAAAAAGGCGAAUAAGUUUAAGAUCAACUAAGCUGAAAACUAACUUUUAAUAUGCUGGUAAAAAAUUGGUAUGAGCAAGCUUGUAACAUAGGACAGAAAUAUAUAUCAAGCUUUUCACCAUUAAUAAAACUAUAAAUUAAAAGGGCACCAGCACUCCAUAUCCCAAUUUUCUGAUUUGAUAUUACCAGAAUGGUGAGAAACUACUGCAGUACAAGAUGUCUAAAACAAUUGUUGGAAUUUUAGGAUAAUUUAAGGUUAACACUCUUCUCAGUUGAGUUUAAAUUUACUUCCUAGAGGUGGUAAGCUUUUACCACAUCUGAAAGGCCUAAUUCUUUUGACACCUAAAACAAUGGAGUUGAGAAACUUAGUGGACAUAGUGAUGGUAAAUCAUUUAGUCUCCGAUCCUUUAUUUUCUUCGGCCCAUAUAUUUCCUGUUUGUAAAGAGGAUUGGAUGUCCUUUGGAGAAAACCAUAUUUUGAAAGUUUCUCCUUUUUGAUAUAUCUCUUAUAUAUGGCCAAGUUGGCCUUGUUAUUAUCUAUGCAAACUUUACUUGAUGAAAAAAGAACAAUUCAUUAAUCAUAUAUCGUAUAUUUAUAUAAAAGAGAACCCUAGGCCCGCAAUGUGGCGCCACCACACGCAAGAAUUUCCUUUUAAAUUUAUUUAUUUCCAAAAUUAGUUUUCCUCUUUCAUGAAAAAAAUGUGACUUAUUGAAAAGUUGCGACUUUUAUGAAAAGUAGUGACUUACUUACUGACACCACUCUCAAUAAGUAGGUGAAUAAAAUUGUUAUUCUUUAAACAUUUUGUAAUAGAGGGGAACAAUUUUCUUAAGAGGAUAUUGUGCAUUAAGUGGACUUGAUUUUUUCCUUUCUAUUUCAUUCUAUUUUUACAUAUCCUAGUAUGUUUUGUUACACUCAUUAAUUUAUGUUUAUGAUAUUAAUUAUUGUUUUAGAGCUCAUGUUUUAAACUCCGUUGUUUAUGUUUCUGCAAAGUUAUUAUCUCUAAUUAUAUUGAACAUAUGCACAUAUAGUACGUAUAUUCAUUGUGCAGAAAAUAAUUAUCGUACUCAGUUCAACAAAUUCAUGUUUUGAUAUUCUAUGUUAAAUUCUAUAACUUAAAAGUACUAUAUAUAAGCUUACAUAUUAUCUAUUUUUACGUAGAUAUGAAAUUUCUCACUUAACAUUUGAAGAAAUUCAUUAUGAAAGUUCAAAAGUUAUAAUUGCUUUCAUGUUCGUAAUUUCUAUUUUGAAUAUGUUAACAAACUUUUGAAUUUUCUCCGAAGACGACAUAUAUCACAAUUGUAUAGUCUAUGCAACUUAAAUGUUUCUUUUUAUUACGAAAUGCCUUCGUAUAUAUAUUCCUAUUUUCUUCUAAUUUUCCUUAUAAUGUUGAUUAAAGAACAAAAUGAAUUAUUAUUUCGUGAAUAAUUCAUUCAUUAGAGGUUUUUAAGUCAUGUGAUAAUGAUAAAUAAUUAAAUUAAUGUUGGAAUAUUGUUAAUAUUUCUUUAAGAAUCCAUUUUUCCAUUAUUUUUAAUGUAUGGAUAUUAGUAAAAAAUUAUUUGCAAGUUUAAUGCAAUUAUUAUUUAUUACCGCGCAAAGCACGUGCAAAUUACCUAAUCAAUUCAAUAAUUUUGAUGACUUGGCUAAGUGAAUAAACCAAUAUUUCCUAAUUCAGUAGAUAUCAUUACCUGUGGAUUAGGAAUGACUAUGCAAUUUAAUACUUAACCUAAAACAAACUUCCAGGGGAAAAAACUUGGAAAGAUAUCAAUUUACUUGACGAAAUCUUCGACCUUCCUUAUAUUAUAGAGAACUUAAAUGUCUCUGACAAAAUAUAUUGGGUAAGAUAUGGAUCUCCUCUAGGUAGCUGAAGCUUUUGGAUAAGGUUAACAGGUGAGAUAUACACAAUUAAUUGAUGAUAGAUUGAUAUCUUACCGUACUUCCCUCAAAUAAAGUAAAUUUCCCACAUGUGGGUACCAUGUUGAAAACCCAAUGAAAACAAUAAAUUUAUUUAGAAGUAAAAAGUUACUACUUAAGGAUAACAAGGACAGUAGUGUGCAAAUUAGAGAUGGAAAUCACCCAUCCACCCUUUUAAAAUGAGGAAACCUGAUGACAUUCACUAGACUUUUGGAUACUUUAUGUUCUUUUUAGUUGAAUAACUUUAGUCCAUUGUUCUUAAAUAAGAAUAUAUGAUAAAUUUUAUCCUUUUGGUAGCUUACAUCUAUUUAAAGAAUUUGCUGCAGAAAUAUGUCACGGAAUCCUACAUUUGUCCCUAGAUUUAGACAAUUAUUUUCAUCUCGUGGUGUCAUGUCUCCAACCUUGCAUUUGUUCACAAUUUACAUUUGCUACAGGUAUCCUAUGCCACUCAGCAAUGACAUCUUAUCUUAUACCAAUCAAACUUAGACCAGUAUUAUCAAAGGUGCACUUAGGCCCUGAAGCGAGACUCAAAACAUGUUGAGCAUUUCACCUAGCUUAAUGUGCAUUUCAGUGGUCAUCAAAAUUCUAAGACAUAUUUCUCCUUGUCAAUGAGAAUUUCCCAAAGAGGCCACACUAAACAAUUGAUAUAUAUAUAUAUAUAUAUAUAUAUAUAUAUGUAUGUAUGUAUGUAUAUGUAUGUAUGUAUGUAUGUAUUUAUUUUAUCUCAAUUUGCGCUUACGGCCGUUGCUUUAUUUGCAUUUAAAACCCCAAAUACCUUAGAACUUUUUUGCGCUUUUGAUAACGCAUUUUCGUUAGAUAAUUAGGGUGGCGGUGGUGAAACUAUCGAAGGUUACUUUAAAGUAAGUUUCUUAUGGUAACAAAAAAACUAGAAAAUAUUUUACAUGUCUUGUUGUGGCUUAUAAUGUUGUCCCACAUUUGCUGAGGGAUGGGUUAUUCAUCUUUUCUCAAAUGGUUUUGGGCAUGAGCUAACUUUUGAGUUGAGUUAGACCCAAGAUCCAUCUUGUAUCAGACCACACACAUAUCUAAGUUUCACAUGUCACAACCCAAAAAUUGUCAAAAUGAAUUUUCAAAUACACACCUGAUUCUUUUCCAUGGGUCAAGAACAUAAAAAAUUAUUUUUGACAACCUACUUGUGGGAAGACUUAAACUGAGUACCUUUGCCUACCUUGGUACCAUGAUAAGAAAUAGAUCUUGGGCCUAACUCAAUCCGAGAAGUUAGGUGAUGAAGUGAGGAUUACACAAAACCACAUCUUGAGACAAAUAACCCAACCCACCACCAAUGCCGGGCACUUAACAAAUACAAAGUUACAAGCUAUUGUAUUGCAUUGAAAGAAAAUACCUCUUGGGAGAAAUUGUCAAUACGGUACGGCAUAAAGCCGGUAUCAUCUUCUGACACAAGAAUCAGGUUUGUUCCCGACUGACCAUGAGGGCUGCCGACGAUUUUAUCAUCUCUAAUUGAGACAUCAGCAGUCUGAACUUCCACACAUAUCAUGUUCACAGCACCAGAGAGAAAAUUUCGCAUUUUAACCUGAGUAUCACCUAGAUGUUCUGGCAAGAAGCAACCAGACCAUUGCCAUCCAGGUUCAGCAAAUUGAAUAGAGACUAGCAACUCCCUGGUAAACAUUGACACAUAAUAAAUAACAAGAAUAAGAAAAAAAAAAAGAACGAAAUUUACGCGAAUCACAAUUCUGCUUUUUGUUCGUCCAAAAUUAAAACGUUUUUGCCUGCCAACUUAACUAAUCACUUGUUUCACAAGAAUAGUGUCAGAAACACAUCUUACCGAUGACUAUUCCCACAACAUAUGGUCCCUCACAUUUAACAAUAUCUGUUCCCACGAUAAUCUCACCCUCGUCAAUUACCCCUUAUAGAUCCGAGCAAAUUCAUAAAGAGAAUCAAGUGUUCAUUAGGAUCCUUGGCAAUGAUAAUGGCAAAUUAAAAAGUGGAUGGCAUGGAUGAGGUGGAUACACAAUAGUUUGUUACUGUGUCAUGCAGCAGACACCUUGGCAAUGAUUAAGCAACUUGUUUUCCUAAAGAAAAUGUUUUCCGAAAUAUUUUUUUCAACAGAUCAUGGUUCUGGAAAAUAUUUUCUUCCAUACCAAACACAGUCAUAGAAGUAACUUGAGAUAUCAAUGAGCAAUGAAAAUGUCAACACUGUCACAAUAUACCUCGAUGUAUCUGUCCACUGAAUAUGAGAAUGCCUUCCAGAUUCUAAUGUGAAAACAUCAUCUGUUCCUUUUUGCUUGUAAUACAGGUCCUUAUUGCAUGCAUUGCUGAUUACGUAUCUGUAGAAUUAUGGGUGCUUUAUUAUAGAUAUAUUCCUUGCAGGAAGAUUCUAUAGAAAUACCUUGAAGAUAGUAGUAAAUAACAAAAUAUUGACAUACUAGAGUACCUCGGCUGGAAGGUAAUGAUUUUUGUCCUGCCAAAAAAUGGUGCUGCAACAGCACAAACAGAAAUUACAUAACCAGAUUUUUUGGAUGGUUGUGGGACUGUUACACUGCUAGAACCAGUAGGUGGCACAAGGGCAAAAGCACUAGACCAAGAAUCAUUAGGAAUGUCAUUCAUCAGUGAAUUUGGUAGAUAUCUACACAGUCUGACAAUAAUUUCACUAGAAGACGAACUUGGGUUAGGUGAAUACAUCCGGCAAUUAACCUUCCAAGCGUCACCUUCUGUUAACCCACAGGACUUUAAGCUGGAUUGACUGCUUGCGUAAGACUUACUCCUGUGAAGUGAUCCUUUUGAAGCAUAUAUAUCAUGCUUCUGUGAACCCCGGUGAAAAUUUGUUGAAUUAUCAAAAUAAAUCGAUUCCUCUUGAGAGAAUUUACUGUCAUGUGACUUUGUAACGAGGUAAUUGUUCAAGGGAGCUACUGGCAGACUCUUGUUAUUUGCAGGUGUAUCCAUAUAUUGAUUAGAAGAAAAAAUGCCCAGACCAUCUUUCUUGUGGAGAACCAAGGCCUGAUCGUCUACAUCAUAGCAAGAAGUAAUAACACUAAAAUGGCCUUUCGUCCAAUUAAUGGAUUCAGAGACAACCAGUGGGAAACCAGUGCAAUUGAAGAGCAAAAAUGGAACCGAAAUGCAUAUUUCACGAGCUCCACAAAAUGCAUCCAUCACCUUCUCAAUUGCAACACAAAGAGGACCUAAUAAAGUGGAGAUUAAAGAAUAAAAAAUAACAAGAGGGAACUAAUAAUGCUGGCACUGGUAGAAGAACAGGAAAGCAAAAUUCAAUCGGUACCAUCUGAUGAUUGAGGGUCAAAAGUAAUAGUCUCCGACAAAGAGAACCUUGUUCCGCUGAACUUGGCUAUUUCACCAAAUGUUUCAGCACGUGGAAAUUUCACAACUGAAGGUUUAUAUCCAUGCAUCUCGAAAGUUAUUAUGAGGUCAUGUGAAGAAUCAACAUGGAAGAAAGAAGUUUCAACCUGGAAACGGGAAAAAUUGUGCUGGUGAACACAACGUAAAAUAAAUCAAUUCAUGAAAAAGAUAGUUAUUAUAACAUAGUGCAUACCUCUGACACAGCUGCAGUACGACAAACACCAGCAUUUUCUAUUGUCACAGAUACCGUCUCCGGUAGAUAGUUCUUCAAUACUAAUGGACUGCUUAAAGUCAACUGAUGCACAUUCCUCUUCUCGGGCUUAACCAUGUAAUUUACAUUAUUAUGAGGUUUAUUAGUCUGUGUUAGAACAUUGUUGGACAAAGAAAAGCCUUUUUCUGGUGACACAGCAGAAGGUAAGCACCAAUCAUGCACAGAUAUGCAGCAGCGGAAAGGGUCACUGCUUGGAUGAGAUGGAUAACAGACAAAGGAGCGCAGAAAGCUGAUUUUAUUUUCAUUAGAAAGAAUAUUUGGAAUACUGUGGGUUUCACUCCACAAGUAAGAAUUACCAAGAGGACGCCAUCUCACUCGUCCUGCUUCAGCCAAAUGUAAUGGAAGAGGAAAUUGUUGACCAGGAUAAAUGGGGUCCAGAACCUGAAAUGACAAAGAAGGGAAAAGACAGAAGUUACAUGAAGGUAUAGGAACACAAAUCCAGUCAAAACUAAAUAGAUACAAAUAUCCCUUUUGCCGAUAGAGAUACGGAGAUUUCUACUUAUCAUUUUUACCAAUAUACCUUUGGAGAAACACCAAAUGGAAUGUCAAACCGUACUUCAAGAGGCACCGAAGUUGCAUUUGAUACUAUUACCUGUAAUAAAAAAGAAAUAUGUAAAACAGUACAGUAAAUCAAAGAUUCACAAAAUAUAACCAGCAUUAGCACUUACAGUUGAGUACAAUCGCACCAUCUUCGUGUACCUCUGUAUGGACACAUCAAUCACUACAGGAAUGAUAAAGCCACUUUUUUCUUCUAUUUUGUUGUUCUUUCCAUCGUUUAUACUACUGUAUGGAACAUUCUUAGUUGUAUCAACAUCAGGCUUCCUCGAUGAUUUGGAAAAAUCGACUUCAAAGUACCUAAGUCCAACAAGAUCCAUUGAAAUAGGAACCGAAGGAAGUGAUGUUCCCUCAAGUUGAACAAUGAUAUAAUGAUGUGAUGGCUCCACCGAUUUUUUGUCACCAAGUUGUUCCCAGGAUUGGGCCGGACUAUAGCGUAAAAUUUGAUCUUCAAGACUUUCACUAACAUAAACUGGAAUAGAAGAUCCUGGUUGUAAAUACUUUCUACUUUUCAUGGAGGAUACUUCUAAGCCAUAACCACUCUGCCGCUGUUGAUAGACAUGAAACUCUAAAGGCAAUGAAGUCAAAUUCUGCAGUAUAUAAGGAGGAGAACUCCCGGUAUCCAGAUUUUCACUUCUCUGAGAAUUUAAGAAUGAAGGGAUUUCAGAAUGAGCAGCCAUCUGCGCCAGAUCCCCUGCAUUUUUUAUCAUCUCGAUUGUCCUAGAAACAACCUUCACCAAACAGAAAGAAAAAAGAGAGAAAUAUAUCAGCCAACUUGUUUAAACUGUACUUGAAGAGUUGACACAAGUCUUUGGUAGAAAGUUUUACAUAGUGCAAUAUGUCAUAAUUCAUUCAAUAUUUAGUGAGCACAUUGCAAGAAAUCUGAUAACACAAUCAGAUGAAAGGAAACUAAAGAUGAGUAUUUCUUCAACACAAAAAACUUUACAAUAGUUGUGUAUUUAAAACAAUGAACUCAUAUAUGUGUGCGUGUACACAUACACAUACAUAUAUCAGAGAAAUCCCCAGGCCAGAGGCGCACGGUUUGAAACUUGGUGGGUAAUGAGCUGCCCCUCAACUUAAAUUAGGGAUCAUUGUUUCCCUUAAAAAAGAAAGCCUUCCCACUCAUUUCAACCAAGGAACUCCAUCUAUUUAAGCUUUUGUAAAACACAUUGAGUCCCAAUAUUUAAUAAAAGGGGACCAAGUUGUGCCAGGUUAACAUCCAGCAUAAAAAGUAACCAACCUAUGAUGAAUAUACUAUGGACAGAGAUGAUUCAUGUAGUUGACCCGAACAAUUCUGGAUUGAGGCCUAGUGAACUGAUAUUGAGUGAUAUAGGGCCCGUUUGGAUGGACUUAAUAAAAGCAGCUUUAAAAAAAUACUUUUAAAAGUGCUGAAACUUAUUUUUAAAAUAAGCAGUUAUGCGUUUGGAUAAAAGUGCUGAAGUUGUUAUGUCAAACGUGAAAAGGGAAAAAUGGAAGAAAGAAAUGUUAGGGUUAUAUGGGUAAUUUGGAGAUUGUAUAAAAAUAUUAAGCACAAAAAGAUAAAAAUGUGGUCAACUUAAAACAACUUAUAAGCUAAAAAAAAAAAGCACCCCUACCCCAGCUUUUAACUUUUGGCUUAAAAUAAGUUUUUUUAAACUUAAAAUAAGCUGUUUUGAGUAUUGCCAAACAGCUAAAUAAGUCAAAAACCAGCUUUUAAGUCAGUUUGACCAGCUUUUAAGCUGAGCCAAACAGGCUCAUAAUCACUUACCAAAGGAUGACCUGGCUAGUUUAUGCUUAGUCAUAUCAUUUUCGAAGAUGCAGCAAAUUAAUCUAGUAUAUUAUGAGCCACGGUUGAGCUUAUAUGAGUGGAUAAAACUAAUCAUUUGUUAUUAGAUAUCAAGUUAUCAACUGAUACAUACUUUUGUGUUUGAUAAUGCAAUAUUAAAUAUUUUUUAAUUUCUUCACCUGGAAAUAGACAAUUAAACCUUAAGGAAAAAUUACAAAAUAAUAAAUAAAUAAUUUGGGAAGGGGAGAAUAAGAGAAGGUCUAAGGAGCUUGUGUCAAGAAAAUUGGACCUUAGACUUAAACGCAAGAGCAUAUUAAGAGACUUCAGGGCGGCGUCCUUCACCAAUGAAGGACUCUCAACACCCAUUUGAACACACAGGAGCCUGACCAAAAUAACAGGGCGUUCAACAUUAGGUUAACCAAAAAUAGGGAUGAGGCAUGCUAGGAUACAGUUUCAGGAUAUAGACCUUAGACCUAACUCUCCCCUAAACCCUAGUUAAUGAGAUGAGAUCACCCAAAACCAUAUAAAGGGAGUACAGCCCAUACCCUCACAAGUGUGUCACUUUAUCAAUGCCAAAGUAAAACAGCUUAUUUCUUAUCAUUGAUUCCACAAUGACAGCCAGCACAUUGAUAGCCUGAUAAAGGAUAAAGAAUAAGGACAGAUACAAACAGUUUUACCAAAUUCCAUGGUGAAUAUAAUAGAGUUUCUCAUUUGGUUAUUUUUUAUCAACGAAUGCAACAUAGGGUUUGCCUGUAGAACAAGAAACUAAAGUACCUCAAUAAGGGACUCGGUAAGAUUCAAGUUAAGUUGAGUUGUCGACUUGAUAUGAAGAUUUCUAGUCACAUCACUACUCAGAAGGGAACUGUCAUCAUGCCUUUUUAUACUUAGCUGGAUUUCCCAGGGCUCUAGGAAAGGCUCCCACGAGACCUAUUGUCCAAAUAGAGAACAGAAAUUAGUGAAUCAGAAUCAAAAGAAGAUAUAUCAUGAUUUUUUCAUCUCUACCAUGUCAAUGUUAUUAUAGUUCACUUCGACUUCACACUUCACCAAACCCUCCAUUUCAUUUCCAGCUAUAUUUGAGUGAAGAAGCAAGUUUGUCAUAAGUAACUCCAGCAAAGGUCCACUUGAACUCCACUAGAGAAAAAUAUAUACAUAUUAGCAAAAUGUAUGUAGCAGAAGAAUACAGGAAAUUAUGUGAUACAAUUAGCAGCAAAGAUGAUCAAAUAAGAAUACCUCAUUGCUCUCAAAAGAUAAACAAAGGAAAUACUGGAAAGAAACAAGAAGCAUGAUAAGAAACUCUUUCCAGUUCAGUGCAAAGGAGUUUGACAGUGAGGAUAAAAGAGCAAUGACACUAUUUUCAUGAAAAUAUGAGCAUAAUUGUAAAAAAAUGGAUACGAGGCCAAACUCUACUAAAAUUCUAACUAAUAAGGUAAAAAUGUCCAGAAGCAUAUAGGGAUACGAUAACCCUCCCCUCAACCAAUGUGGAUAUUUUAAUACUUCAUCAGCAGGCAGGAGCAGGACAUCUUAAAGCAAGGACAAUAGAAGACUGGCGGUGAAGCAUUGGGUUAACCAAAAUAGGGAUGUUGGGGUUCAAUUAACAUGUAAAGAAAACAAAAUUUGGGCCGAGCUCAAUUUCAGAAGUUUGACACGAUGACUGCCCAAGAUUCUUAUAAGAAGACAACAUCUCAUUCACUUAACUAACGUGGGACAUUUUAACAAUAAUGAUAUUGAUCUAGAAGAGAUUAUAACACUGCAGAAAACUAGAGACCACAUUCUAUUAAGUAACAGAUUUCUGAUAUCUUUGUCACCUUCCAGGAAUUAAGAAAUAGACUUCUCUGGAACAAGAUAUAUUUCAAAGUGCUCCUCCUAACUAUAAACUGACAUGAAAGAGCAAAGGUGAAACUGCAUUCGAGAAGCAUGCAUUUUCAUAACUUCAUUCAAUCGCUCAAUGUCAACGAGGAAAUUCAAAUGGAGUAUAUGAGAUUCUGCAACAGAAGUUCCUUGCAGCAGCUAAGAAACUAUGAAUUCCAGCAAAACAGAUAUCAGUUACCACUGAGAAAUAACUCGUAUCCUGAACAGUCAAUAUAUUGUUCCUAAAUAAAGGGGAAACGAAAGGACACAUUAAAGGAAAUAUGAUGGUGGUCUACUACUUUCUAGUGUUGUCUGUUAAAAGCAUAAUCAUUAAAACUUCUAAGGAUAAUAAUGAAAUUUAAGAGAAUUGAGGCAAAUCAAGUUAUCAGAAUCCAUCUUGGAGUCCAAUCUAGCAAAGGCAAACUGCAGAAAUGAUGUAAAUAGGGACAGUGUUAUGGAGUGAAAUCACCUUUCCAUCAGCCAAAAGAAGAGAGAACUUUCUAAGUUGGAUUUCAAAGUUCACUUGACUGAAACUAAAUUGUGAAGGCCCAGCUGCUGGACCUUCAAAAUCCACAAACUGCCAGAAAUAAAGAAUGUGAUCUGACAGCCAUACAUCCAGGCAAUGACACUGAAGAUCCACCUUCCCAUGGAUAUGCUUAAUGCAACUAGUGCAAACUGCAGCAUCAAGGUUCACUUGAAAUAGUUCAAACAGGGGCCACGAGCGUGUGUUAUCAUCCUUCACAAGCUCCACUGUACCCCAGAUUUUAUCAAGAUCAAGUUUCAGUCUCAUAACGGUCCCCAAGUAAAACACUUUACUAUUCCUAGCUUGAAAGCCAACAGUGAAGAAUCCAUGUCGAUGUCCAUAUAUCAUGUUUCGUAAAUCAUUCAUGUGGUUGUCCCCCUGCUUCACCUCCAAUAUAUUAAAAGCAUCUUUUCUAACCCAAGCAGGCACAUGAAUUCGGAGACAGAUGCUUUCCAACUCAACAGAAUGAACUCCAGAAUCAUGCCUCACAUUUUCUUCAGUAGAUAAAAUAUUAAGACAUGGAUGGGAAUUUUGCGGACCAUCAUUUUUACCAUCCCUGAGUUGUUCAACAGGGACAUAUGCAAUAUUGUUUGAUAAUGAGUUUGUUAUCAAGGUAUUGGAUUGUUUGGUUGAAAAAGACUGGAGUACGUUGAUGAUUGCAACCCAGUCAGACAUAUGUACCCAAAUAUCUAGCGAAGGCAGAGAAACAGAAAGCAUAUUUUCACCCUGAUCAGACAAUGAAAAGGUUAUCACAAUAACUGGGGAGUCAGAUUUAGAACAGCAUUCAGCAAGCAAAACAGAGUUAAGAGACGAGAAUAUCUGUAGGUAAGAGAACGAGAUAUUCAGCCUUAAGAGCUCAUCAUUUCUUAAAGAGGCAGAACAAAGAAACUGCAUGUUAGCUUCCCCAAUAAGGUCAGAAGCAACUGAUUCUCCUUUAUGUUGUCGCAAUUUUAUGGACAUUGACCUCACAGACACUCGGAUUGUCAUGAAAUUUUCAAAAGAGCCUUGAGGUGGAGAAGCGGUUUGACCCUCAAUCCCCUCCCUGUGUAGAAAAAACUGUAAGGUAUCAGAUUUGAAUGCUUCAGCUUGUUUAGCAACCAAGGAAAACUGAUCUAUGACAUCCAUCAUUGCUUCACAUCCAUUCACGAGUGAUGCACCUGUGGACAAAGACAAAGCAAAUACUGAGGUGCCAAAAAUUUUGCUUCAGUACUCGAGAAAACAUAUGACAGAAAUCUGUUUCUUACCUUCAGCAUUGAGUUGACAAUCCUUGACUAUUAUCAUAAUGCAACUUGGAUAACAGGAUACAACAUCACAACAUCCACAUUGGGAUGGUAAUCUCACCCAUACAUCAGCACUAAAUGGCGCAAUCAAGUUGAUAUUUGUCCAAUUGGGGCCAUAAAAAGAACCUGACAAAUAAUCUGCUUCUUCCAAUAGCAUCAAAGAUAGUGAUAAGUCAUAUCCAAAUAAGUUUAAACAAUCAUUUCUGUGAGCAAUUUCAUCUUCUGUGACCAAGCACUCCAUAGGAAUAUCCUUCAGCACAAACUUUGCUUCACCAUUUUCCGUGAAACUAGAGUAUAGUCGUUGUAUAUCAAGCUUCAGGAAUUGAGAUACGCUGCUCCCUGUCGGUAUAAAUAAGUUGGAGUCCAGUAUCUCAAACAUGAAUGAAGUGCAUACAUUAUCUUUUGAAGUGUUAGAGUCGGAGGUUUCAGUAAUAGGCAAUUCAUCUGUACUAGAGCUCAAAGCAGGUAAGGUAAAAUAACCAAUGAUAACUGCAAGGAACUCAGGUGGUAAGACACAAGACACAUGCUGGAUACUUAAACUUAUUUUCAACGGUGACUUAACACUUUCUUUCCAGACACGUAACUUUAAAGUUGGAGGGGAAGUGGAUACCAAGGGACCCCAAAGGAAAUCCUGCAUCAUUUGAGUCCAUUGUAGAGAAGAAAGAAUCAACCCCUCUGCACAGCAAAGUACAUCCAGAUAGUUGGCGCAAAUACACAAUGCAGACUUGACAUUUGGAAACAGAAGAGUUCCAAUUAUGUAAGAGGAUUCAUGAAAAUGAACUCGACUGUUGCUGAGAUCCAAGUCAAUGAAAUACGCCUUUUUAGCACCAUAAACUUGAAAAGAAGAAUUAACUGAAAUUGGAAGCUGACUAUUAGAUCUAUCUUCUAUGUUGUCCUUAGGACUGCUGUCCUUCCAGUCUCUUAAGUUAAGAACCUUCCUCCACUCGGGAGUAUUAUCAUUUGAGAAACCUCCAAGAUUACGAAAAGAAUCAGUAUCUUUUAGGGUGAUGAAAGGGAACUGAUCCAAUGAAACAGUUGCCCAUUCAGAGAAGGAGGUUUCAAAGAAGUUGGAAGAACCAGAAUUUUGAAGCGAAGAAGCAGAAGUAGGAACAUAAUUGUUACUAUUCACUACAGGGUUGUCCACAACUCGAAGAGAAGAUCUGAUAUUAGAUAAUUUAUCAAUAAAUCCUACAAAAACUCCAAUUAUAAAACGGUGGCAGUGAAUAUCAAGACCACUUAAACUUAAUUUACAUUCAUGGCCAAUGAAUCCUGAAUUCCCACAGGUUUUGUAAUGGAACACAAGGCACAGAUCGUUGGUACUACUUCUCUCAUCAGAAUUCCCACUUUGAGGACCAAUGCUAACAUCAUUACAAUCCUGAUACAUAGAUCCAGACAAGCCCUGAGAUGAGCAAAAGAUAAGGCUUUUCCCUUCACUUUUACCACCAUAAUUAUGGAUGUUUAUUUCCUUCACCGAAGCUCUUCCCUCCAAGGACUCAUUCCCAUCAAACCUGCAACUUCAUUCAAACUUCAUAAAUGAAUGCGACAAUACUCAACAGAUAAUAUUUGAAAAGAAUCACUCUCCUGACUCACAAAUACAUCUGACUAAAGAAUAGAUACCAGAAUCUGAUGUUUUCUACCAUUUUCUUUACCGUGAAUACUUGAAUAUUAAAGGUUAAAUGGAAAAACGACUAUAUUAAGCACAACUUUAACUGCACCUCUAGACUAAUCUCAUUUUCCUCUUUUUCCGUUCUCACCAGAUCACUUGCUGCUAACUAUCAAUAAAAUAGAACUUAAACAAGUUCAGCACCCAAGUCUCUAGUGUAGCUGUCAGAAAAGCUUCCAUGAAAAUCAGGGGCACAUAUGAGACAAAAAUAUAAGGUCAGUUCUUCAUUUGAUAAAGUCUUGGUGGGAAUAACAUACUACCUCUAUUAGUGUGAGGACACAUAUACCAGGUAGAGCAGUCUAGAUCCGCACAACCUAGCCUGGACACCGCUGGUGAAAGGAAGUUCUUCAAGAAUCAAGCUGAUUCCGGGAAAAAUAUCCAUGGAAGUUCAAGAAUUGUUCUGAUUAAUGCUAAAGUUUUUAUUACAAAUGGUGGAUGUCAUGACUGACUAAUUGAAAGUGGCAUUGCAGCAAGAAUGACUUGAGGUGAAUAAACAAAAACUGUGCAAUUGUUAACAGUGCAGAAAACGACCCACUAUGACUGUGACCUUAUGCAACUCAAGUUAUUUUGGAAAGGGAAAAAGGUCAAAUAUACCCCCAAACUUUCAAAAAUGGUAUGUAUAUAUCAUCCAUCAUACUUUAAGGUCGUAUGUAUCCCUAUCAUCAUACUUUUGGACCAUACAUACCCUUUAAUCAAACGGACAUACAUGUGGCACCAUCUCAAUAACUUACUCGAUUUUUUAAUUAUUUUUUUAAAUCCAUAAUUUAAAAACCCACACAAUUAUAUCCUGACCCACUUAAGACCCAAAUUAAAGAAACCCUAACCAAAUUGCAAGUAACAAAAGCUUCGAGAAAUCUUUGAUUCAAGCUGCUCAGCGUGCAUCUCUACCCCUUCCAUACUCCAUUCAAAAACUCUGGAUUCCCCAUCUUCACUGCACCCACCAGCUUUUUUUAUCAUUCCAAAAUUUCAAUUCCAGAUGAACUCUGAAUUGAGUUUCUCUCCAAUUGGCUCCUAUUUCUCUCUGAAUCUCAUUUGUGUUCCUGUUGAUGAACUCCUAUUUCUUGGGUAAUUACUUGGUCAUAAAGAACCUAAACAGAGUGGAAUAUAUACAGAGUUUUCAUAUUAAUUUAAAGAUUUAAGUUUUGUUGCUUUAUAUAAUUACUGUAGUAAUGAAGGUAGUUGUAGAUAAUGUAUGCAAUUAACAGUUUUUGGGACAAACCAAUUGAUUUCUCAUUUGUCUUAUUAAUAUUUAGGGUUAUACUUCAAUAUUAUAUAGUUGUAAAGUUGUUAAUUUUGUGGGUGUUCUGAUCAAAUAAGUCGUUGGUAAGAUUGCAAAACUUUGUGGCAAUGCAAAAUGUUUUUUUUAAAACAAAAAAAAAAAAAUUAGUCAGGAUAUAAUUGGGUGGGUUUGUAAAUUUUGGAUUUAAAAGAAUCAGGUAAGUUAUUGAGAUGGUGUCACGUGUCUGUCCAUUUGAUUAAAGGGUAUAUAAGGUCCAAAAGUAUGACCAUAAGGAUAACAUACUACCUUAAAGUAAGACGGUGGGUAUAUAUAUACAAUUUUUAAAAGUUUGGGGGUAUAUUUUACCUUUUUCUCUUUUGGAAAUGAACAGCUAAGCUAGAGAUGCAUGUCAAGAGACCAUUCAUGAGAGUCACCAAACAGAAAUGAUUUUCAAAAUCACGUUGGUAUGAUGAUUAGGCUUUAUAGCAGUUCUUGUAGCAUUGUUACGGUGCAAAACAGAAGGAUUAAGAGAGACUGAAUAUUAAUAAAUGAUUAGCCAAGGAGUAUAAAGCUGCAACAUAAUUACACUUCGGCAUUUGUCUAUCAUCUAAUUUUUUGUGUAUUUUCUCUAUUAUUAAUGGUGUAUCUUUAUCUGGCUGAUAGAAAAGCAAAACAAGAUGCUAACAACAUACCGAAUAUUUAAUAUCUGAAGCAAAAGCAUGAGACUGCAUGCAUUUUCUACAUCACUUUCAAAGUCGAUCAAGAAACCAAUAGAUUUCACAUUUGCAGCAAUGGAGAACCAAAAAAUUGCAGAUAUCACACUACCAUCAACUGUAGUUGGGAGCAAGGAGUCUGAUGAUAAACCCAGUAUAUCAAAAUCCGCAAUAAGGUCCAUAAUUGCACCAUAUAGAGAUGGUGAAAAGUGAGCAAGAACAGGUGAAACCUCUAUGUCAACCUGAAAUAAAGAAAGAAAGCAACCUACAUUAUAAACACCUGAUAAGAUAUCUCAUACUCUAAUAAUUAGAAACUAUAGCAAGCGGAGUAGCGUUGUAACAUUCAAACAGAAAUUGCUCCAUAUGACAACCCAAGUCACAGAGGUUUCAGUUUGAAAGUGUGAAAGUCCCAACUUGAAUAUCUUUUUUUUAAGGAUUGGUAACUGUUUGCAUUUCUUUGAAUCAGUACAUGGGUUGAACCAUAUUUACAUAACGAACUCUAAAAGCACUGUGCUAUCCCUAUAAUGAGUCUAAAACAUCAAUGAUAGAGCCAGUGUCAUUAGAGUAGAUCUGAUUACACCAAAAACACAAAGUUAGAAUACAAUUCAAUUUUCUUGCUGCAUAUUACUCUCCCUAUUCUCAAAAACACUAAGAUUUCUCUCUUUCCAGACAGUCCAAAUAGUAGCAGGAUUGAUUCUCCAGUUGCUUCUGUUCUUUGCUUGUGAUCCUGCUUCUUCCCAACUGUAAAAGGCCUCACCAAUUCUACCAGGCAUGACCCGUGAGAAGGCAUUACCCAUGAGAAGUUUUUGAGCCUUAGGAAUAGACUCCACAAUUGGCCAUUGAUCUUGCACUGGAUUAGUGCUGACAAAAUGAGCCCAUAUUUUGGUGACCCGCCCAAACCGUCCAUAUUUUAAUGGGUUGGGUGAAUGGUUUUUCACAUGGGUAAAAUAUGGGUUGAUACCCAUAUUUGACCCAUUAAAAAUUAAAAUAUGGGUAAACUACAGGUAAAAUAUGAAUUAGCCAAAUGAGUUAAGCUUCUAACUUUUUUUUUUAAAAAAAUUUGGUAAAUUGUAUUCAUCAGCAUUAAGGAUAUGCUGAUAUGCUGGCCACCUCCAACAGUGAAUAAUUACAAGCUUCCUAUCAACUCUACAAUCUGAUAUACAUCUUCUAUACAAAGUAGUUUACACCAAAGAAGUAGAGUUUCAAUAUAAUUCCAUUUUAAGUUAAGCUUAUAAUUUUUAUUCAUUCAAAAUUCAAGAUAUAAUUAAAAAUAGUGUAACUUCUCUUCCUUUAUUCUAUAGAACUAACUAUUCCUCUCUCUAAUUGAAUUCAAGCUUACAACUGCUCUUGUAAAACCUAAGGAAUUGAUCCCAACCUCUACCCUCUCUACUGUUCUUCUUCAAUGACUCUAUCCGGUCAACAAAGUCACUUAUGGACACAAAAAACACCUAAUACAAUCAACUAAGAAAGUAAUUAAGAUACUGUCUUGGAAUCAACACAAGAAACUACUAUUACAGCUCAAGAACCAUAUGGAUAGAUCUUGAUAGCAACAGGUUCUCUCGUUGUAGCAACAACUUCUUCGAAACUCUUUGUGCAGAACUUUUUAACUUUGCUGUCUCUCCCCAGAGUUGUUUACAUAGUCGCCUUGUAGUACUCUAUUCCAAAACAUAAAUUAGGUCGAGACUUUCACAAAAUCCAGUACUAGUUUGACUUGGUUCGAAACAUUGCACGCGUCGAUUUCUUUCUCCUAUUUUCAAGCUAAUUCCAUGUGCAUAAUGUAUGAUAGCUUUCCAUGAAAUAAUUUCAGUUCCUUGUCGAAUUGAAUUCUACCGUACUACAAUUCUCCAAUAUUUCCUACUUCCUAGUGCAUAUGUGAAAUAAUAUAUUCUGAAUAGUCUCUCAUGCUACCCUAGGGGAACAUAUUCUCUAACGACUUCCUCUGAAGGCUUUGUUAAUUUCUUCACUUCUUCUUAGAAGAUCUAUCUCACUGAGGACAUGGUUCUUGAAACUUCAUUCUUCAUUCUUCUUUCUUCAUAUAAACUCUCUUGUACAUAAAUUGUCAAUCAUCAAAGCACCACAUGAUCUUGAAUGUAGAUUCAAAGAUGAUAGUACUUCAACAUCAAGCGACUUACAGAAGACAUGAUUCUCUAAAAAAGCAUCCAUUUGUUAAAAUAUGUACAUUUAGUUCAAUUAAGUUGGAGGCUACAUUCUUUCAAAUUUUAAACUGAAAGAGUGUGGAUCAUUAGCUCUUCUUCUGUCCCACAUUGAACUGCACCCAUCCAAUGCAGGAGAAGGAAAAGAAGCAUCUUUAGUAUCUUGAAAACAAGAAAAACAAUGAACCUAAAGGUGAAACAAUUAAUAUGUACAUUUAGCAGUCAAACUUUUUCUAUUUUACCAGUCAAGAACAUAGAGGCAAAAAAUAGUUUGUCGACUAAAUUAGAUCCUUGCACCACCAGAUAUAUCCAUCAAUUUCAGUUACACGACAACAAAUAAAGGCUUAAGAAUUGAAGACAAGAAAAAUAAUGAACCUAAUGGUGAAACAACUAAUAUGUACAUUUAGCACAUAAAAAACUUUUUCUAUUUUACCAGUCAAGAACAUAGAGGCAAAAAAUAGUUUGUCGACUAAAUUAGAUCCUUGCACCACCAGAUAUAUCCAUCAAUUUCAAUUACAAGACAACAAAUAAAGGCUUAAGAAUUGAAGAGCCUGUGAUUUCUGGAGAAAAGUAAAAGACUAUUGGAAACCAAAAAUUAAAUUGCUAUCACAACACAUAGAAAAACUAGUCAUAAAAAUGAUUCACUUACCUCACAAUUUUUCAACUCUGAUUCAUCAGCAAUAAUGCACAAUGUCAAGUUGAUAUUGGUACAAAGUUUCUCCAGAAGGGGGACAGUUCUAGAGGAAUUUGAAGUUAAAAGUUUUACCUGCAAAACAGAAUCACUUAACUUACACCAUACGAGGAAGUUGAAUAUCAGUGUAAAUGACUAACCUCAAGAUCAUUAAUGUUAAUCUCAAAGUGAUCAUAGAGAUCUUGAAGCUGACAACCCAAGACAACAUUACUAGUGCAAAGAGGCGAUGCUAAUAAAGUAUCUCUGUCGCCUUUAGACCCAAAUGUUAAUUCCCCUGCUUCAAGUACCUGCCCAAACUAGAGAUUUUAGGCCACUGAAAAUGCACUAAUUACAUGGAAAUAAUGAAGCCUUCCAGUUCUCAAUCAUAAAUUGGUCAAGCACACCAUGCAAGUAAUAGAUCACAAUAAAAUUACUGGAGGGCAACCCAACAUCUUAUUGGGCUAGUUUCAAAUGUAUACAAUAAAGUAAUUAGUCAACAAUAAAUAUACCAUGUUUUUAUUCACAUAAAAAUUGUCAAAAAAGAUAGAAACUAUACACUGACUAUACAUUAUGAUACAAUCAAAAAUCUGAAUAUAGCUUAACUAUACAUGAGCUAUACACUAGCUAUUCAUUACAAUGCACUCAAAAAAUUGAAUUUAGUUUAACUAUACAUGAAGUGCACUGAAUAUUCAAUUCGGACCAAAUCAGUGUUAUGAAAGGCGCACACCUCGUCGCCAAAGGCGAGAGGCGAGGCGAGGCAGGGUGGCUCGCCAUUCUCUGGCGAGGCGAGGCGAGGAGAAAAAGGCGAGGCCCUGGCGAUAAUGGCGCUGAAAUGGCGAGAGAAAGGCGCCGCCUUUUUGAUUAAAAAAAAUUUGACUUAAUAAUAUUAGUCAAAAUUAGGGUUUUUUUUUUACUUUCUAAAAUUUCUGAAACUCGCGACUCUCUCUCUCGAUCGAUCGAUUGACUCUUCUCUUCUCCCUCGCCGGUCCUCGCUGCUCCCUCGCUGUCCCUCGCCGGCCCUCGCUGCUCCCUCGCUGUCGCGUCUCUGCUUCCUUGCUCUCCCUUGCUGUCGCGUCUCUUCUCCCUCGCCGGCGACCUCGCGACUCUCUGUUUUCAGGUAAUGUCGCGUCUCUGUUCUUCUUCUUCUUCUGUUAUUAUUUUUUCUGUUCUUUCUUCUUCAUUUUUUUUUAAUUUUGGUAAGCUGCGUAAGCAGCAGUGAGGACUCAGUAAGUGUAAACAGUGUUAAUUUUUUUAAAAAAAUUCUUUUCCUAAGACCUAAUUAUUUAUUCCAAUAUUCCUAAACAGCGAAUUAAUUGAAUUUGAUAAUCAAUGGCGGAUGCUAGCAAAAAGAGGGACAUUGGAUGGAAUUAUGGCACUCAAGGAGCGACGAAAGAUUCGGUCACUUGUAACUUUUGUGGGAGUACUUUCAAUGGUGGAAUAACGCGACACAAACAACAUUUAGUGGGUGGUUUCAAAAAUGUUAAACAAUGUGCCGCUUGUCCGUCGGAAAUUAGAGAAGAAAUAAGGGCUUAUAUGCAAAACAAAAUAGCUAAUAAUCCCAAAUUUCAAAUGAGGCAACCGGAAGAAUUUGUUGAUAUUGAUGAUCUUGAUGAAAUGGAUGAUUAUGCGGAAAUGAGGCCUCCCUCCAAAACUCAAAAGAUAUCUUCUAGUGGAGGUUCAUCCACUGCACGGAGUGUGAUGAAAGGACCUUUGAACCUCUAUUUUUCACAAAAAUCAACACAAAAAGGAGGCUUAGAAAAAGGAGGAGGAAUCGAAGAAACAAAGAAAAUUCUAAGAGAGCGUGCGGUUAGUGCUUUUGCAAUUUGGAUGUAUGAUGCCGGGCUCCCUUUUAAUUGCGUCAAUCACAAAUCAUUCGAUAAAUUUAUUGAGGCGGUUGGACAACAUGGCCUCGGAAUGAAGCCUCCUACAUUCCAUGAAGUUAGAGUCACUCACCUUAAAAAAGAGGUGGAUAAAGUAGAAAAAAUUGUUGAGGAGCAUAAAGUGCAAUGGACAAAGUUUGGUUGUUCCAUUAUGAUGGACAAAUGGACGGCACGAAAUGGCAAAAUGAUCAUCAAUAUUUUGGUGAAUUCUCCAAUCGGUAGUGUAUUUCUUGGUUCGGUUGAUGCUAGCAAUGAAUCUACCGAUUCCACCAAAAUGUACAAGUUAUUUGAAAGCACUAUCGAAAGAAUUGGACCGGAAAAUGUGGUACAAAUUGUCACCGAUAAUGCCAGUGAGAAUGUCAAAGCGGGAAGUAUGAUAAUGGGUGCGUAUCCACACAUUUAUUGGACUCCAUGUGCCGCUCAUUGCAUCAACUUGAUAUUUGGUGACAUAUUCAAGGUUAAGCCAUAUGCUUCCGGUAAUCAACCUAUCCUUUAACUUUAUUAAGUUUCUUUAUAGUCAAUACUCAAUAAUUCAUUAGCUACUAAUUAAUUUAAUUUAAUCUUUCUAUAACAGUUUUUAAGAAGGCCAUCAGAAUCCAUUCUUACAUUAGUCAAAGGCCGUUAUUGUUAAACUUGAUGAGAAAAUUCACCAAAGAAAGAAAUUUGGUGAAACCGGCCAACACAAGAUUUGCAACGGCAUUCUUAACUUUGAGAGCUAUGUACAUUCAAAGAAAAAACUUGAAAACUUUAUUCCUCUCUACCGAAUGGAAUUCAAGCAAAUUUGCAAAGGAAACUUCGGGGAAAGAAGUUGCCAAUCUUCUUAUUUCUAUCCACUUUUGGAAUGAUGUUGUUCGGGCACUUACAGUUUGUAGCCCUUUGACAAAAGUGCUUCGUUUGGUGGAUGGGGAGAAAAAACCACCAAUGGGUUAUAUUUAUGAGGCAAUGGAUAGAGCCAAAGAAGCUAUUGCACAUGGAUUUCCUGGAGUUCAGAAGCAUUAUGAGAAAGUGUUUCAAAUUAUUGAUGCAAGGUGGUCAGAACAACUCCAUCGGCCUUUGCAUGCUGCAGGCCAUGUUUUGAACCCAGGAUUAUAUUAUAAAGCUGAAGAAGAGGGAACUUUAUUACAGAGUUUGUGGACCGAGUAUUAUGCAUGUGUUGAGAAGUUGGUCCGUGAUACAACAAUACAAGAUGCACUAAUCGCUGAGCUUCCUAAGUACAAAAUGGCGGAUGGACUAUUUGGUUGUGGUCCGGCUAAAAGAGCUAGAGACACAAGGUCACCGGGUAAGUGGGUUGAUUUAGAUCUUACAUUCUUACUUAUAUUAUUUGACUUACUUAUAGUCACUAACCUUUAAAUUUAUUUUAUUAUAGUUGAAUGGUGGUCACUAUUUGGUAGUGAAACACCAAACUUGCAAAAGUUUGCCAUGAAAGUGUUAAGCCUAACUUGUAGCUCAUCUGGAUGUGAGCGAAAUUGGAGUGUGUUUGAACACGCAAGUAAAAAUUUAUAUCCUAUUUUUCAUAUUAUAUUAUUAUCAAUAUCAACUAGUUAAUAUCAAUAACUUAUGCACAGAUUCAUUCCAAAAAGAGGAAUAGGCUUACACUAUCGCGUCUCAAUGAUCUAGUGUACAUUAAGUACAAUAGAACAUUGAAACGCCGUUAUGAUGCUCGUGAUCUUAUUGAUCCAAUUCGCUUGGAUAACAUAGAUGAUUCCAACGAAUGGUUAGUUGGAUGCCCCGAAGAUCAAGAUGAUGAACUAGUAUAUGAGGAUGAUGAUCUUACUUGGGGUAGUGUUGCUACGACAAUUGGAGCGGACGAGAGUAUCUAUCAUCUUAGGGGACUUUCUUCAAGAUCAACAAUACUUGACAAGGGCAAAGGAGUAGAAAGUACAUCUUUAAGUUCAUCUUCAAGUAGGACUCGGACACUAAUUGAUGAAGAAUACGAGGAGGAAGAAGAUGAAGAGCAAUAUAAUGAUGUAGAAGAUUUUGAUCGUCAAGAGUCAGAUAAUUUGAAGAAGAAUAGACUUUUAAAGUUUUGGUUUAUUGUAUUUUGAAUUGUUUGGUCUUUAAAGUUUUAGACAUUCUAUUGGUUUUUGAGUUGAAUAUUUGUUAAUAUGUGUUAUUGCUAUUAAGACUUUGGAUAAAAUAUGCAAUUAAAUAUUUUUAAUUUUUGGUAUUAAUUGGUGCCUUUAUUCAAAAAGGCAAGCGCCUCGCCGCGUGGCGAGGCAGGCCCUUGUCGCCUUUUGUCGCCUCUCGCCGUCCACAACACUGGACCAAAUCAAAAUCUCCUCUAAACAGUCCCAAAUUUGUAGAUGUGAAAUCCUCUAAACUACAACUUCAUUUAGGGAACACAACACAAAUAUACAUAUGGUUGGGAACUGCAAAUCAAAUCUACCCAACUUGAAUAGAAAAUAUGAGCUGUUUCGGACCUAGAAAGAAUAACAAGGUAGGAAGAAAGCCCUGGAGCAAGUGAAGAACUGAAGGACAUUGGACAAAUAAUGGGGUAAUAGGGAUAAUGCACCAACAAUGGCAUGGAAGAAUUACCAUUUUCGGCAUGUCAGAAUCUGCACCUCCACCAGGAACAAGGAUGGCAAUACCCAAUAUAUGGACAUUCCAUGUAACAGUCUUGCGAUUUGAUAAGACAUGCCUGCGGAGAGACAUAAAACAUAGGAAGAGCAGCAAGGCAGCACAAUUAUCAUGGAUAUCAAAUUGAUUUGGAUCAGUAUAAUCAUAUCGCAUAUAAAAGUAAAAUUCAUGUCUUUGACUAGGAGGCAAGAAUAUCUACUAAUUAGAUGAGCUUUCUUGAUAUACUUACUCAAUUUUAGUCUGAAGUCGUGCAGUCGUAUUUUGAAUUUUGUUGAUGGAUGACAGAAUCUGUAACACGGAACACUAUCAAGUCACAACAGCAUCUAGCAUGUAAAGCCUUGCCUUAUUAAACAAUGUAACGACUAGUUUAGGUAUUUGAAAGUUAAAAGAGUUUUAAUAGAAGACGGUUCAAUUUUAAAGUUGAAUAUUGUUCCACAUUGUGUUUGACAUCUAUAAUUUGGUUACACAUUCAUCAAAUAAUCAAUGUCUGUCCUCUCUUUCAUUUUCCUAACAUGAUAUCAGGGCAUCUACGAUUUUGGUAGAGACGUAAAGCAUAUCCAUCAGUAAUCAGGUUCUCUAAAAUUUUCCUUUUUCAUGAAUUCACUUUUCUCUUUUCUGGUGACUGUUCUGGGAUUGCUUCUUUUCUAAGUAACCAUUCCGAUAACACUCUCAUUCGCACUGACAAUCCCAGCAGUGUACAUCUUUUGAUCAUUUCUAAGUCACGAUGCCUAUUUCUAGUGAUCGUCUGACACCAAUGUCUAUUGCAAAAGAUUGUUUUGGCGACAAUUAGGUGAAUGUUCCAAUAGUAUUUGGGCCCUUACCUGUAACUUCUACAAAGGCAUCGCCUUAUUCUGGUCAAUUUUUGCAUCUUUUGUUUGGAGAUUUAAGAAAAAAUAGUAUAGUUAAAAAGAUCUCCUAAAAAGAAGUUGCAAAAAUGACCAUAAAAAGGAGAUGCUACCACAAAAAUUGGUAUAACAUUUUAGCAACAUUCUUGUGAACUUCCAAUAAGUUGUUCCAAGGGCUCCAUCAGUACUAUUUUGCCAACUAUUUUCUCUGAUUCAAAGUAAGCAAAUUUCUUUCUUAACUUACGUUUGAGGAUAUGCUCGUAUGUAACUUAUAAGUUAGUCAUUGUUAAAGAAUGAAUCUUGGGAGCUCACUCAAUCCCAAAAAUUAGGGCAGCUUUGCGCAAGACCAUAUAAUGAGACCAAAAAGCCCUUAACCCACCGAUGUGGGACUCUUAACAGUUAUACAAGUCAGAAUCUGAGUUAAAAAUCAUCAAAGUUCUCCCAAGUAUUCUGGCUAAAUUACAUUUUUGUUUUAAAGAUGAGAUCUGAUUAGUUUACGCCGUAACUUAUAGAAGAUGUGCCCGGUGUUAGGAGAACUAGUCAAGAAAGUUAAUUCUAGAAUAUCUAUAUAUUUUCUGUUUCUACAGAUAUUAUAUAGACAUUGUCCUUGACUUCUACUAAUAGCUGUAUCCAUUCACAAACUUACUUUAUGCAUCUUUUCUGCACCCUUAUACUUGUUGCAUUAGCUCCGAAUCGCAAAGUAAAUUGAUGUUCUCUGUCACUGUUAGUGUUAGAACACCCAUUGUAUGAUGUUCAUUAUGAUAAGAAACAUUCAUGCAAAAUGAUAUAAAGGCAAUCAGAAAUCAAUUACCAAAUGAAUGUAACACAAUGACGUUGAACACCACUAAACAAAAUGUCAUGUUUUAAGUAGUAACUUGUAUGUUAUACAAUGAACGGAAUUUUGGUGAUCAGUGGAUAAACCUGGAGGCCAAAGUGAAAAUAAGACGACUAUCCAGAGAUCUCAGAAGUAUCAAAUUUUAUGGAGUUCUAUGUAAAACAAUCACAACAGCUUGAAUACUUACCCUGUCCUGCAGAGAGUAAGAGUGUUCCAAAAGGGAAGAAAGACUCAUAAUAUUCUUGAAACAUUCUAGAUCACAACUAAUUUGAAGUGGCUGGACAGAGGCCUGUUUAUACAAAGUUAUAGGAUGUCAAUCUCUGAAAAAACUCCUGUUCAAUAAUUAAAUAACUUAUAACAGCUGCAUAACAUUGUGGUGAUAAUAAAAAGUUUCCAACUGACUUAAAUAUUGUAAAAGCAAAGAAGAUGACAAUACCUUUACAGAUAAAGUAGAAUCCAGUUUUAGACGCGACAUGUCAAGUUGGAAACUUAGAGAAGGUUGAUGAAUUUUGGGCUUUCCUCGAUCAGAAUUUACCUAAGUUAACCAAAGCAUUAUAAGCUAUAACAGUUUAUAAUCAAAUAUUAUUUUAAUUAGUUGCAAGAAGUGAUGUGUAUGCAUAAAUGCAAGCAAACAUAGAGGCAAUUAACUAGCCACCUAGUUCAUAAGGGAUCAAAGAUGCACAACUAUUUACGGCAGAGACAUUAUAAGACCGGACUAUUAAUUGAGAGCAUUUUUAUUUAAUUUGGCUUACUUAAAGGGCAUUUUUGACCCUUUUCCAUUACAUUCAUGAGCCACAAAAUGAGUAUAGUGGAACUAUCACAAGGAAAGAUUUCAAAUUGUUAUCAAGACAGUAAUCUUUUUGAUGUGAGGCCAAAAAUAUAUAUUUUAAUAAUUAUUUGUAUUUUUCCUUUUUGAGCAUGAGUUUUAUGAAUUGUGUUAAAUAGUGUAUUUUAUUUGUAGAAGUAAAUUGGCGUAAAGAUGAAGAAGUUUGGAGCUAAAUGAAUUAAAGAUGGAAGAUUAUAGAAUGAAUAUAUAUGAAAAAAAAGGUCUCCUGAAAUUAAAGAAAGCAAAUUGAUGGCCGUUACUCAUUGACAUGUAGCAACUUCUGAAGGCACUUGCCAAUUGAUGAAAGACGCUAAUUGUUAAGGCGGUUGGACUGUUUCAUCUUGAAACCAAUUCCUGUUUGUUUUCGGUUCUCAAUUUGUUUUGGACUAAAUUAUUUUAUUUAGGGAUUUCUACAUCUACAAAUACUACUUUUUAGGGGGUUUUUUCUUUUUCUUAUUUUAUUAGACAUUAGUAGCUCAAGACCCUUGUUCUGGAGUUGUAGCUACGGGUAAUUGUUGAACAUUGAUUGUUUUGAAUUAAUGUUGGUUGUCACUUAAAUUACUUUGUUAUUCUUGUUAUAGUAUUUCAUGUUUAAUCAAUAUAGAGAUAAAUAUAUUGUGUAUUCUUGAACUCGAGAGACGGAAAGGUAUAUAGACCAAAGAAUACAAAGAGUUCGAUCUCUCUUACAUACCACUUGCUCAGAUUCAUAUUUAGGAUUGACACUCAGAUGAACACUGAGCUUGAUUACUAAACGGGAUGAAAUAUAAAUGCUUAUGAAUUGACUAUUGUUCGCCCCUGCUCUCGAUGUCGUUAGAUAGUCAACUGGAGUACGAGAUUAGAGGUCGAGAGAUCAUGAUCAUAAAAUCUACCUUAUAAAUAAGUAAUUUGAUAACUGUGGUUUUUUUUAUUUCCCACCCGGUAUCCACAACCCACAUUGGAGCUCCGACUAAAUCUGUGGCAGGGCCCAUUCGGGGGUAGCGCUCCCAACAGGAUUUUCACCAUACCAGAGCUUGAACCCGAGACCUCUGGUUAAGGGUAAAACACUCCCACCAAUAUACCACAACCCAUGUUGGUUGAUAAGCGUAGUUAAUUCAUGCAUAAAAUGUGAUACCUUAAGCAUACUGCAGCCCUGGAAUUAUACCACUUAUUGUAAGUAAUUUUAUUGUUUUAUUCUUGCAUUCUUAAUAUUCAAUUAUAAAUUAAACUCUUUUGGCACGCUUGAAUAAAUAAUUAGACUAGUAUAAUUCAUUAGAAUAGUUAAUCGACAAAUCCUUUGGAUUUGAUAAUCUAGCUCUUUUAGAACCACAAUAUUACUUGCGCAACCACUAAACUUACAUGUGCAACGGGAAGUAACAUGAAUAUGGACAUGUCACUCAAAAAUAUUAACUUCUUUAACAUAGACUAACCCUUGUUCGUAAAACGACUUGUUUGUUGAAUGGAUUAAGCAUCUUGACCGAGUUUAUUUCACCAAUGAUAACAGCAGUCUCCUCCCAAGUCUCACACCCAACAGAAAUCCCUUCAAGUACCAAAUUGGCAACGGCAUAACCCAGCUUCCUAGAAAAUAAAACAGAAGAGCAACUUGUGAGUGCACCAUAACAUAAAUCAAUACAACUAUAAAUCUGGAACAAGUGAGGUCGACUAUGAAUCGUCAUUCCCCAUGUUAAUCGAUUCCAACUCACUUCAGGUCAAUUCCAUGUACUUCAUAAAAUAGGUAUCAGGCCAAGGGUCAAGAAAAGACAAACACACAUAUUGUCUUUGAACUGAUUAGUCUAUUUGUUGUAUUCAGUAACACCAGAGGCAUCACUGACAUAUGUAAAUGAAAGGGAGAGGCUUCAAAGAAAAGCAACUUUGUAUGAAGUGUAUCCUAUGAACCCAUAGAAAGAGGUGGCAAAUAAAGUAAGGAACUUCAGCCCAAUUAGCUUCAUAUGAAGUGUUUAUGAGAUGAUGGCAACACUUCGAGCACAAAGUCGUAGGUAUCUCAAACCCAAGAUUUGUAGUGGAAGGCAGAUUGACAAACUGUCUCAAUUGCUUGUCCAUUUCUAAUUCAAAGUAGAUCCCCAGGUUGGCAGGUUACGCUUUUGAGGAGAGCUAAAUCUUUAAAAGAACAAGGAGAAAGGCUAUUGAAACAGUUGCGUGUAGAUUUAAUCACAAGAAUGAUUUCCAAAACUCAACCACUUAAAUUUUGAACCAUAAUGAUCAGAAAAGGAAAAAUAUAGAUUUAGUGUCAGAUAAAUUUGUCUUCUACAAGUAAGACAUCACACCCUACAUGCUCCGUAUACUAGCAGAAACUUGUUUGAUGUUGAACUUCAAUGAAGAGAAAUAGAUUUGAUUGUCAGCAGGAGCAUCAUCAUCCAGUGAUAGAACAGGCUGGAACUUAGUAGCUUCAUAUAUAUCCUGUUAAGAAAAAGUAUCAGUAAGUAUUUUUAGUCAAAAGUUGAAAUUCAUAGCAAUCACGUUAAUGCAAAUACCAACCCUUUAUAAACUUAAGUAAAACUAACUUAUUUUUAUAAAUGGUAGUGUUGUAUUCCUCAGCAUUAAGGAAUGCUGGCUACCUCAAAAAGUGUUACAAGAGAAGAAAAAAUAAAAUCUAGAUUACAGAGAGCCAAUGAAAUCUACAAGAUCUUCUAUUUCCUCUAUACAAUUUCAUUUAACCCCAAAAAACAGUGUGGAUAGGCAAUUCCCUUUCACAACAUGGAUGGGCUUAAAUUUGUUUUCCAAAGCAUCUCACAUUUCUUUCCUUCCACACUGACGACCAUAUGCAGGAUGGGAUUAUCCUACACCACUUCUUCUAAUCCUUGCUCCCCCUCUUCUGAUCCAACAGCUCAUUAGAUCAGCUGUAUGUUCAGGCAUUGUCCAUUCAGUCUUGGUGAUAGAGAACAUAUGCCAAAGUUGAGCAGUGAAUUUACUAUGUAGGAAGAGCCGAUUUGUUGAUCUCCCCAGUUUCAUAACACAAAAAACAUCUGGUCUAACAUCUUUUAUCAGAAAUAUAGCAAAUCCACAUAAAUGCAAACAAUGGAUGUUAUCCAUGUUUCAACUUACAUAAUCUAUUUUCUCUACUUAUAAAUGCACCUCAAAAGUUGGAUGAGAGAUUGUGCAAGAUUGGACAGUAGUAUAAAAGUUUUGUAUUUGAAUGAUCCACUAGUAUCUUAGUACGAAAUGUGGAUGUUAACUCGGAUGUGCAAAUCAUACAAAAUUGGAGAGAUACGGCAGAUAGUAUCCCGCCGGUAUAUUAUAACCAUACUAAGCACAAAGACUGGGAUAGGACAGAUAGUAUUCCAUCAUUUUAUUAUGACUGUGUUAAGCAUGAAGGCCCGGAUACAGCAGAUAGUAUCCCAGAAAUUAAAGAAGAUAGUAAUGUCAUCAAAAAGGACUAAGAAAGAUAAUAUGCAUAAUGAACUACAAGAUGUUCCUUAGCUUUCCUAUGCCACCACUAUGUCAUGUUUUAUGCCCCUAUUUCAUGAGCUUUAUUGCCUAUCUUAUGUCAUUCUGUCUGCCUUAUCAGACAAGUGUUAUUCCACGGUACUCAUGUCCCUUUUGUGGGGGACGCUGUAAUGAAUAAUGCAGGUUCAGACACUCGAGUGGCAGAACCACCUCCACCACCACUCACCACCUUGCUAGGCAUUCACUUCACAUCUCAAUUGUUAAUGGUGGGAUAGUAUCUGCCUGUUGAGUCGGGGGACUAUCUGAAAAAGCCUCUCUACCUCCAAGGUAGAGGUAAGGUCUACGUACACUCUACCCUUCGUGGGAUUACACUGGUAUGUUGUUGUUGCUCUUUGGCUUCUAGGGUCUUUCAGUGUCCGUCAUAUUGUCCGUGCAUACUGGUCAUCUUCAUACAGAUACUAGUGCUGCUGUUACCUUAUUUUAACCAAUAACACCUUGAUUUGUGCCUCCUAUUAAUUCUUCACAGUUUGCCACCUCAUGUAGCUAGUCUCUACCUUCUUUUUUUAUGAAGUAAAUGCUAUUUCUACCUCUUUUCUUUGAGAGAAUUCUUUUGUUAAUACCAUACUUCCUUCCAGUCUAUUAAAUAUUAGUAACCUUUACAGGACGUCAUUCUAUUCUACUACUAUUUUGAAGAUUCCAGGAAUCUUAUUGUUCCCUUCUUUUAGGUUUUCUUUAAACACAUUUAGCUUCUCGGACAAAAUGCAAUUAAGUACACCAUUAAUGUGGUAACAAUCUCAGCACUCACUGCUCACUAGAUCUACCAAUUUUUUAAUCAAGGCCACGUGUCCCCAAAUUUGAGGUUAAGAGCUACCUUUUUACCACUGUCCACAAUAUAGUAAUGGUGGACAUGGACCACACUAGAUCUUGGGUAAUAGUAAAUGUGUGAAAUUUGAAGUCAUUACCCCAUUCCCACUCCGACGAGUACAAAAAUUUAUUCAGAAAAUAGUAUGUAAGCAGGUGGAGAAAGUACAAGGCGCAAGCUAAGCCCCACAAAAAGCAUGUAAGUUUCUUUUCAUCAAAAAAGUAGUAGUAUGUAAGUUUCUAUGCAUACUUCCAUUCAUACUGAGAAUAUGUCAAUUAUAUUAAUUCCACAUGACUUCAGAACUAUACAGUCCAUUAUGAAACAACAAACAAUAUAAUAUUUGCUUAUUUACCUUUUUAUUUUUUUUUUGCUUAUUAUAAGCAAUGCAAAUAUAUGAAAUAAGCGAAAAGGAGUGAUAAGGCUCACCUUGACAACAUCAUCAGAAAUAACACCAGAAAAUUGGCUAGAAUCAUCAGUUCCUCCAGCACCAAGCAUGCCACGUGAUAGCCAAUUUAACCAUCCACGAGGCUUGCUGGACAUAUGCUCAUCCUCCAUAGGUUUGACAGUAUUGACAAUGUUGCUUACAUUACUCGAAGAAGAAUUCAACAAAAUAUCCUGUAAACCCAGCGAAAACAAUUAUUUAUGUAUUUCUGUGUUUGCGUGUGUAUAUAAGGGAGUUUUUAUUCAACAAAAAUGAAGAAUAGCAAUUCAACAAGCAUGAAAAAACAAACUGUUGAGACCCACCCCCCAAAGAAAGUUCACUACUUAUAGAGAGUAAUUCUCUGAACAUUGUAAACUAAAAAGACGGAAUGAUAAGGCACACUAAACACUACUCCCACUGUUUCAAUCUGUGUGACUGAUUUUCUUUUUUAGUCUCUUUAAAAAUGAUGCCUCUAUACUAACUUGGCAACUCUUUGUUUCCAAAAUCUCACAUGGCAUAUUUAAAACCACAAGAUUAAAGGGCAGUUAGGUAUGGUACAUCUACAUAUCUUUAGUUUAAGACCACAAAAUUCAAGUUUUAUUUUCUUCAACUCUGUACCUAGUUAAAACAAGACAAGCAAAUUAAAACAAAGGAAGUACGUGAAUUCUUCUCAUAUGUCCAAGUCUAGGCACACAAAGUUACCCAGUACGUAUAUUGGUGGGAGAUAGCAGGUACUCCUGCAAUGAUCGAGGUUCGUGCAAGCCAGACCGAACACCACGGUAAUAAAAAGAUAUGAAACACAAAGCAAAAUGCCGAAAUGACAUAUUAUCUGCCUAUACCCACCACUUCAUUAAAUCUUUCUUUAACCAUAUAAAGAGCAUAUGUAUCCCGAGAUUCUCUCUUUCUCAGAAGUGAAUUCCCUCUCAAGGGAAAUGGAGUUCGACCACGGCUAUGAAAAGCUUAUUGAAAUAGGAGGAAAGAGCGUAAACUUGACUCUACAAGUUUCAGUUGCCUCCCUCUCCUGGCCCCCACCCCCCACCCCAAAACAAACAAAACAAAGUAGAACGGUUACUUGGUUGAUUAUUUCGUCCUAUCAAAGAAAAUGUGACUUGGUUAUUUUCGGUUGAUACCAUGCAUACAUUCAACAUCUCCAGUGAUAACAUUUACACCACCAGCUAUUAUUAUCAUAUCAGCUAGUUAGUUCUUCUAAAUGCAGAAUGAUUAGGAAUGCAACACAAUUUUGGCAAUAAUGACUAGUUCUUUCAAACUUAAACAUACCUGUAACUCACGUUCAGCAGUAGACCUGUAAUUUAGGAUGUCACCCACUUCAGAUUUUUUCUCCAUUUCCUCGAGCAUCUGAAGAACAUCCACAUCAAUCACCUGAGAUUCAAAGUAAAGAUAGACAGUGAUCAAAAUGCAAGCUUCCGGGAACUCUGCAGCCCACAACAGAAAAAUAUUUUCAGCACUUUCAGAAAAGUACCUUCCCCUAAAAGUUUGUGCCAAAAUUGAAACAAGAUUAGGUAUUCAAAUUAGAAACUGGCUAGCUGCAUAACUGUGCAGCCAAGGAAAAAAGAAAAUUCAGUCCUUUCAUAAUAGCACCUACCCCUAAAAGUUUGUGAAAAAGUUGAUACUAGAUUAGGUAUUCAAACAAGAAACUGGCUGUCUGCACAACUGUUGCACAAGAGGUUUAAAAAAGCAGGUCUAAAUGAUCACACCCUUGCCAUUGUUUUAGAAGGCAAAGAGGGUAAACUGAAAUUCGACAGGUGGAACACUCAAUAUCUAUCUCUGGGAGGUAGACUGACUCUCCUUAAUUCAGUUCUUGAUGCCCUCCCGAUAUUCAUGAUGUCCGUGUUUCCAAUUCCAACAGAGGUCAUUAAUUGGUUGGAUAGCAUCAGGAAAAACUUUUAGAGACAUCGGAACAAAGAAAGAAAGGAUUUUGCUUGGUUAAGUGGAAACACUAACAGUUGGAAAUAGGUACGGGAGUCUGGGAAGUAAGAAUCUGAACUUACAGAGCAAGGCACUCAGAAUGAAAUGGUUAUGGAAGUUCAUUAAUGAAAAUCAGUCUUUGUGGGUGUCUCUGUGUGUGUGUGUGUGUGAGAGAGAGAGAGAGGGGGGGGGGGAGCCAUUAAAACAAAGUAUGAGGAGGACGAUAAAUGGAUGACUCGGGAGGUUACUACACCUGAUGGGAUAAGCCUACGAACAUCCAUUAGAAAGCUGUGGAGUGAAUUCAAGAUCAAUACCAAGAUGAAAGUACUUAAUGGGGAAAAACUCACUUUUGAAAGUAUGAAUGGGCAUGAGAUUGGCAGUCUAGAAAUGCUUUUUCCAGAUAUAUACAAUCUAGUUCUACACCAACAAAGAACUAUAGCAGAACUUUGGACACCUCAAGGUUGGAGCUUUACUUUCGGAAGACAGCUUAAUGACUGGGAAACUCAAAGUGUGGCUGAAUUCUUUACACAAUUGAACAGCUCAUGGGGCUUCAGACAGGAGAAGAUGUAUUUUGGUGGCUGGGGAAUAACAGUGUCUCUUUCAAGGUUUAUGCAGAUUACAGAAUGAUGAACCACUCCAAUCAACAGUUGGAAACAUAUUUAGAAAACCAAAAUACCACGCAAAGUAGCUUGCUUAGUGUGGCUUCUGGAUAAGGAAGCAACCUUACACAGGAUAAAUUGAUGAGGAGAGGGAUCCCAUUGUAUUUUUUUUUUUAUGACAAGGAAAACCUGCAGCCACUACCCUUUGAGUGCGCACUAGGUAAAACCUCCGCUCCUAUGCAAUAUCUCGCAAACUACAUAGGAGAGGUAACGCGCACUAGGCAAGUCCGGUAUGACAAACUCGACCCAGAAGGCAAACCCUUGCUUUCGCUGGCAAGGAGUUUCGAACUUCAGACCUCCAACAUGGAAGUCCCCAGCCCAAACCACUGGGCCACCCCAUGGAACGUCUGGAACAAUUAGGAAUGCAGGGAAAACUAUGUCAGUUUUCAUCUUGAUGAAAAAGUGUCAUCUUGAUGAAAAACUGUCGGUGUAUCACUGCAAAUGCAAAACAAAGAACGUGGGAUACAAAAACUGCAAGCUAUCAGAGACAUAUUUCGUUAGGCAGUUUCCCAUGGGAGUAUAUGAGACAUCCCUUGUUCUUCAACUCUUUUCACUCAUAGAAUCCUCCUGAUUUCUUAAUAUUUCUCGUUAUAAUUUUCCCCUUUAUGAGAGAAACAUAACUUUUAAAGAAUUUGUGUAACACAGGUAUAUAUAACUUUAAAAAACUGAUAGGCAACUGGGUUUAAAGUCACUAACCUGAUCUUGUCGAAGGCAUUUCAGUUUUAUCUUGUACAAGUUCACAUAUUUCCGGCGGCAAUUUCUAGCAUGACAAAUUUAAGUACAAUUACUUUCACAAUUCACUUAUAUAGAAUGUCAACAUAAAAUUAAAAGGGACAAGUGAAAUGUCUCAUUAUUUAUGAAUAGUUGGUGUGACUGUCCGCAUUGGUUGAAGGAAUGAGUUGUUCUCUCCAUACAUAGUCUUGAACAAUCCUUACACUUCAACUUUUGGGGUUGAGUGCGUCCAUGGUCCACUUAUUUUACAGUUGAAACACAAUUUCAUCCCUAAAAGGAACUCUAUAUAGAUGUACCAAAAAACGUUAUACAGAUGAAGCAAAAGUGUGGCAGGAAGAAGUUUUACUCUGAAUCACUUCAAACUAGCUUAUUAAAGGAAAACUAUAGAAAAUCCUUUUAAGUAAACCCUAAUGCUUCUACAUUAAAAAAAUAAUAAUAAAUAAAAGCCCAAAUGAAAAUUAUCUUCACCAAAAAGGUUGUAUGCUCCGCAAUUGUAUCCAUAUGAUAAGAAUCUAAAGCUAUAGCCCUAAACAAGGUAAGAUACCCAACUCUCUCAAUCAAGAAGCUUAUUAAAACAAAACAAGAGGAGUCAAAACAACUAGGAAAUAAACCCUUAGUACUAAGAAACUAAUCAGAUAAAAGCAAUAUUAAGACUCCGAAUUCCCAAAGUAAAAGAAAGUAGAUAACGACUAGAUUCACUGCAGUACGAACAGUAACUUUCUCUUCCCUUUGCUACACCAACUCUCAGACUCGGAAAAUAAUUGUUGUAGCUCUUAUAUGUAGAUUCUAUAGAGAGAAAUUAACAACAUAUCCAGUGAAAUCCCAAAAGUGGGGUAUGGGAGAUCAUACAUGUAGGGGCAGUUGAUAACAUUGACAUGCUUUCCCAAAUCUAGCAGUGCAGGGUAAGGGCUCACCCUACUACCAUAUGAUUACCUUUGGGCGCAUCGAACCAGGAUCUCGCCAUUUAGAAUCCGGUCAUUUAGAGAGUCAGAGAAGAGUUGGCAGGGUGGCAGAAAAGAUUCUUAUCGAAAGGAGGCAAAAUAAAUGCUUAUUAAGAUCAUGAUAUUGAGUAUCCCUACAUAUUACAUGUCCCUGUUCAACAGUCCUCCCAGGUUAUAGGUAAGAUGGAGAGGUUGCAAAGAGAUUUUCCAUUGAAUGUGGCGGACGGAGCAAAGAAGUUUCAGUUCGUUCAUUGGGAAUCUGUGACAUAUCCUAAACAGUGGGGAGGACUUGGUGGUAAAGACUUGAAGACUUUCAACAAAGCUCAUCUAGGUAAAUGGUUGUUGAGAUUUGGGAUGGAGGGAGAAGCUUUGGUGGAAUGGAAGGGGGUGGAGAACAAAAGGGAUUACAAUUCUUUUUGAGUGUGGUGUGUGGAUGAAUAUAAUGAAGGGUUGGGAUGUUUUCGCUGGUAAAUUACUUUUAGGGUUGGCAAGGGGAGGGAGUUAGGUUUUGGGGGGCAAAAGUGUUGUGGAAGUUUGGUGCUUAUGGAUGAAUUCUCAGUACUGUAUCGGGUUUCAUGCCAAAGUGAAUUAUCUGUUACACAAGUUAGGGGGACACAAAGGGGUGGAAGUUUUUCGGAUUUGAGGUUCAGGAGGAAUUUUCAGGACUGGGAGGUGACAGAGCUUUAGAGAUUGCUAGAUAUACCCCAAAAGCAAUGUGAGCCAGUUGGGUCCAAUGCUUUGAGUUAACAAAGUGCUUUCUAUCAAGUCCUUCUAUGGGAAGCUUUUGGUGAGGGUGGAGGAUGUUCUUCAUAUGGUGCGGUAUGGAUACCAAAGGUGCCGACUGCCGAGGAAUAUGUGCUUCUUCAUGUGGUUAGCUACUGGAGGGUGAUUUUGAGAACCUUAAGAAGUGAAAAGGUUGUCCACAUAAGCUGGUGUUUCCUAUGUAAGGAGACUGGUGAGGAUGUGGAUUAUAUUUUAUUAAAUUGCAAAUUAGCCAUGAGGUAAUGGGAGGAUACAUUUACAUGGUUUGAAGUCACUGGGUAAUGACAAGAUCAGUGAAGGAGUGGAUGUUCAGCUGGAAGUAGAGCAAGGAGAAGAAGGCACAAGCCGUGAAAUGCUACCCCUCUAGCUCUAAUGUAUGUGGGUCAUUUGGAAAGAGAGAAACAGGAGACCUUUGAUGGGCUAGAGAUGAGUAGUCUCUAAUCCCUUAUUUUCUUUUGGUACACCCAUGUAGUUUCUGUUUGUACAGAGGAUUGGGUGACUUUAGAAGAGAAGCAUAUUUUUGUGGUUCUCUUUUUGAUAUAUCUCUUGUAUACAGCCAAGUUAGCCUUUUUAUUACCAAUGAAACCCUUGAUUUUUAAAAAAAAACAAGGGUGCAUCACUGGACUUUUUCAUCACAGUAAUGACUAGUGGUGGCAAAUGGGCACGUUGGGUCAAAUGUGGGCGGCUUGAAAAUGGGUAAACAUAAAAUGGAUAAUCAUCCAACCCGCCCAUAUUUGAUAUAGGUAAAAAUUGAUUGGGUAAUAAAUGGGUUGGGUAAAACACUAGUUUACCUAUAUUUUCAUGAAUAAAUAGUAUUUUACUUCAUAAUUCAAUAUGGAGAGGAUAUUUUAGUCUUUUUCAGAUGAAAAAUGUUGAACAUGCUUCAUUUAGUUUUAUUGUAUCAUAAAAAUUUAAAAAAAAAUCCUAUAAAUUUUCAAUAUAAAAAAGCUUAUGUAAUAACAAGAUGAAAAUAUUUUUAAUUUCAAAGUAGAUGACUAUUUGCAUUUUAGGACUAAAACAUGCUUAUUUUAACUUUAAGCAAUGUCAAUAUCAAUAAAUGAUUUGUUUAUUUUACACUAUUAUUGAUUAUCCAAUAUAAAAUUAAAUAAAUAAAAUGUAAUUACAAUUAACAAAAGAAAUGUACAUUUGAAUUAUAUAUAUUUGGAAAGUCAAAGACUUCACCUUUUCAAUUACAGAGAAGAAUAGUUAGUUCUAUAGAACCUCAAAAGGAAGAGAAGUUACACUAUUUUUAGCGAUAUCAUGAAUUUUGAGUGAAUACAAGUAGAAGCUUAACACAUUUGGUUAAUCAUAUUUUAUCCAUAGUUUUAUGGGUCAAAUAUGGGAAUCAACCCAUAUUUUACCCAUGUGAAAAAACACUCACCCAACCCAUUAAAAUAUGGGUGGGUUGGGCGGUCACAAAAAUAUAGGCUCAUUUUGCCGGCACUAGUAAUGGCAUACCCAAUUCCAUCCAACACAAGUGGCAAAUGAAUGCCAAGACAAAAAAGACAGGCCAGGGUAUCAAAAAUCAUUAAAUUUCCGUCGGGUAGUGAAUGAGUAUCCUUUUUAAUAAUGAGUAGCAGGAGGUUUUGACUUUCAACAUUCACAAAGUGCAAAUGAACAUGAAGCAGUAAUGAAAUGUCAAAUAAUUAACUGUACUAGACUUACAUCUAAAUAAUCUAACAAACAAAACAAAAAAGGAAGUCCUCCAAAUGUUUUGCUAUGUUGAUUGGAGAAAAGUUUCUUGAGAAGAUCAACUUACAGUCUCUCUCCAAGGUACUUCCAAGAAGUUCUCCUCAACCUCUGUUGAACAUCCAGUAAAACAGAUUUUUGUGCAUACUGCCACCAUGCUGUUUGCCAGCCUUUAAUCUUUUUACCUAAAGGACUCCACCAAGGACGAAACCGUCCAUACCUACAUGGACAGACAACAGAACCACUUACAAGAACAUCAACAAUUUAGAAAGGAUAUUCUUUUCUGAUACAUCUGAUGGAUGUUUAACCAUAAAGUAAGCAAGAAUAGUAUGAUGUGAUGUGCACAUCACACUCCCUGUUCCAAGCAUCUCAACAUUUUUAGCAUUUUCAAUUUUUUUGUGGAGCACAAAAUUUAUACCAUCCAAGCAUUGUUGAGCUUUCUGGAGAGUAAUAUUUCAGUAUAGCUCAGUUCUCACAUAAAUAAGUUACAUGUAUUGGGGAUUUAUCACUUUUCUGUUAUUGCAAAAUUCAGUUGUAUUUAUGGAGAUGAGAAUAUCAACCGACAAUGCAGGCUUUCCCCAUAAGAUGUUUAAGAAUAUAAAACAACAACUUAACACACAAUUCUAUUUGCAUAGAGAUUCUUUCAUUCGCCAUAUGUAAUGACCCAAAAGGCCAUUUUUGGAAUCUUUUAUAAAAUUACCGUUUAUGCUUCCCGAUAAUUGCCCUGAGUCAUUUCCGAGCAGUCGGUGAAGUUGGUUUGAGAAUUUUGAAACUAUUUGUUUCACUAUAGUUAAUUAGUUGACGGGUAGUUGUUAAGUAAUUAAUUUAAUUAGUGGUUAAUGGGCCAAGUCCAUAAUUUAAUUACUACCCCAUUUCACUUAACUUAAGUAUUAGAAUAAUUAAAUAGGAUUUUAGCAUUUAUGAGCUAUGUUGAAAUAGGUGAAGGUGGCAUAACACAAGAGGCAACAUCUUUUUCAAGGUAAAAGCAUACUAACGCCCUUACUCGUUCAAUGUGUAUAGAAAAUUGUAUUGCAUCUACAUUAGCAUAUUAAUAUAAUAGUUGUUAAGGAAAAGGAACAAAGUCGAUUGAAUUAGUACUGUUGUGAAAUCUUUAGGCCAAAAGUAGUGGGCAAUUAAAUUUGAACCGAUAACUACGUAAUGAUGACAAAAUUGAAUAGGAAAUGAGAGACAUGAUGAGGUAAUCAUUGGAAAAUGAUAUUUUUAAGUAAUUCGUUAAUGUUCUGAAUAUUUCCUGGUAAACUUGAAUAGUCCUGGUUUGUUGUUAGAAGUCAGGGGUUAUGUAUUAAAUUUCAAUUUAAGAAUUAUUUUUGAGGUCAUCGUAUUAUGAUUCAAGUUUUGAUAUAUAGAUAUAAGUAAUUAUACAUAAGAUGGAUUUUAUUAUAUGGAUUCCAUUAAAGUUAUGUUAUUUGGAGGAAUUGAGACUUAACUUAGGCUUAAAAUUUGAAAAAUACGAGAGUUGACAUGUUAAUUGGCAUCAAAAUUGGGAACUUGAUAUUAAUAUGGACAUUGGUAGUUUCAAAAUCUUAUUGUGAUUAUUUGUUUGAAUAGAUUGCUUUGAUUUGGAAGUCCAACGAAAGGGGAAGGCUCAAAUCCCAAAGUGAAUUGUUGAUUAAUUGAGGCAAGUGAAUUUCUCAACCCUUGUUAGGUGUAUAGAAUUGUGUAUUUCCUUGUGGAUGUGUUGGGGAGUAAUGGAAUUCGGUGAUGGGUUGACUUGUUCAUAUUGAAUGAUCCUGAUGAGGAAAAGGGGGUAAUAAAAGGCAACUUGAUUUUACAUUGAUGUGUGAUGUGUUGAGAAUGGUUUGAAAGGCGUAUCGAUUCAUUGUUGAUAUCGUAUCACAAUUGUGUUGUUGUAAUUUGUGCAUUGUUAUGGACAUGGUCGUCUUCUUAUUAAUUGUGUAAACAUGGCAUUGGCAUAGCAUCUGAGACAUGGUUGUGACAAAUGUUACGUGGAUUGAGGAAGAAUAAACAAUUAAAGAGAAUGUACCAUUUCAAGGGAUGUGUCGCGUGCCCCGACGGAUAUUAUUAUUCAAAGGAUGUGUCGCACGCCGCGACGGAUAUUAAAAUUGGAGGGACGUGGUGCACGCUGCAACGGAUAUUAUGAUUUGAAGGAUAUGUCGCAUGGCGCGCCGGAUUCUAUUAUUGAGGGUCGUAUCGCACGCCGCAAUGGAGGGCAUGGAAAUAUAUAUCACCCAUGGGUCCCAAAUUGGUAGACAUCGGGUAUGUAUCAUUAGGUCAUACAUGCAUCUUUAUCAUUUGUGAACUUGCGAGUACUUUUCUAUGGAACUUGAUCUUGUGUGUGGCUGAUCUAUAAUUGUUGAAGUGAUGUUGUUGAACUAUGUGUUAUUGAAAUUGUGAACUAUUAGGUUAGGUAGGGCUGGGCUGAUUUUAUGCAGGUUGUAGUUGUGGAGAUUCGUUUGGGAUGGUAGGAGUACCUGUAUUCUAUACCUUAGCUUUGUGUUUAGGAGUUUGCUUGUUAAGUGUCAUGUGGUUGGGUACUCACCCCUUGCUUCUACAAUUAUGUAUGUUACAAGCCCGAAUUUUCGUGAUACUCUUCCUUCUUGUCCAUGGCUUACUGUGGAGAUUUGUGAGGUAGUUGUUUUUCAUCUCAACGGACCCUCUUACUCCCAUUUAUGAUUUUGUUCUACUUUAAAGAUAACAUCACUUGAGACUUGCAUUUUCUUACUUUAGAGAUAACAUCACUUGAGACUUGCAUUUUCUUUCAAAUCUAUUGUAAUACAUUAGAGGCUUGUACACGUGAACCUGGUUUUUGGGGGUUUAAUUAAGUUGAUUUGUUAUCCGCAUUAUUAUUUGUUGUUAAACAUAUCAUUCUUAUUUUACUUCCGCACUUCUCAUUAUAUUUGUAUUUUAGGCUUACUUGUCUUAGUGGGAUAUGACAAGUAUGAUCACAUCCAUUUUUAGGUCAUUACACCAUAAAUAAGAUUUUAGCAGCACAGCUAAUCAUGAAAAUAUAUCGACCAGCACAGCUUAAACAAUACUCAGUCUCCUUUUAAGUUGUUGGAAUCAAAAGUUCGGUUGAGAAAGCUGAAGCUCUAGGGAAUGAAUAUGUACAAAAUUUAGAUAAUAUAUUAAUAGGAGAUGUUGAGAGACAAACAGCAAUGCAAUGGAACUUAGCAACUGUUUCUAGGUUGAGGACAUCUAGUUCUCAAUCCUUCUUUCAUCAAUAAAAUAUCCUUCAUCAUAAAAGAUGGGAAGGGGAAACAGGAAAAAAGUCCGAGAAAAUCUCUCAAAGUCUGAGUGAAAACAUAGUUCCGAGGUAAAACUAUUGUGAUCCUCAAAGAAAAGGUUUUGACAAGAAAGCUGAUACAAAUGAAAAACUAUUGGAUAUGAUUAAAAAAUUAGAAGGGAAAAGGUGACAAGAUCUUACUUCUCUCUCAAUUGGCAUGUCAGCAAAUAAUCACAAAUGCUCAAGAUUUGUUGCAUUUGAAUCUCAUCCAGUGAAACAACCUAAUAUGCAAUGAGAAAAGAGAUCAGCAACUAUGUUAAUGAAUGGCGAAUGAAAUACUUUGACACAGUAGGAAAUAUCCUGUACUAACCACACUAUUCAACUCUACACUUAUGAAGUAUUGAGGAACAUCUUUCUCAAGCCUUCCUAAACGAUUUACCUAUACAAGAAUGGAUAACAGCUCAUUAGAAAACAAAUGAAAAAGCAGAAAGUUGACAAACAAAAAGACAUGUUAAUUUCACCGUGUAAUACAAAACAAGUGCACAUGAGCCUAUUAAAUUAAUCAACUCUUUCAAAAUCUAAUGCAGAUUUAAGUCAGGUAAAUUUCCCAUGAGGAAAAGAAAACUAGAACUAUAUAAAAAAAAUGUUUAAAUAGCUAUUUAGAGAAUACAGUCAUGUUGAACCAUAGUUUUUACUUAUUAGUACGAAAAUGAAGGAAAACCUGCAGUAGAGGUUUAAUUGGUGAGUUUUAAGCAUUAAGAGUUGGGGUGAUAUUCGUAACCACAAUGGAAAGCUUCUACAGAAAGGGAAAAUGUUGGCUGUGGUGUGGUUUAUUCUUGGAGCUUUUCAAGAUCACUCUCUCUUAAAACACAGUACAUGGGAUUGAGUGGUAUUUGUCCUUUAUGUGGUGUAAGGCUAUAGGCCUCCAAUGAGAUAUUUACUCGACAAAUCUUCAGAACUAAAUUUAUCUCUUCUAGCCUGAUGACAACUAGUUUUCCUCAGUGACAUAUUUUGAUAGAGGUGGAAUCUAGGCCAGCUUCCGCACACCUUGAUUACUCCACCACUGCCUACUACCUCACACCAGUACAUGUACCGGGUAACUCUGCUAAAUAUAUUCCAUCUGCAUAUCAAAAAUAGUUAAGCUUGAAUUCAGAUGGAAAAUGAGAUGUGAGAUAAGAGUUUGGUUAUUCCAUCAGUGCAUCUUUUGUUGAACCAUUUGGAGAUAGCACAUUAAGAAUAAAGCUUCACGGGAUUUCUACCACUCAAAUUUAAUAUUCAAAUGCAAGAUGAGAAGUUGGAUGUCCAUCAUAAUAGAAGCAUCCUUACAUCAUAUUUUCCUUUUUCGACAUGCAAAACUGCCAUUUUAAGGAGGUUGUCAAGUAAUGAAAUGCACCUUUAAUAGAGCAGAUUAGAUACAGAUGACUCGUAUAGCUCGUACGAACUAACUUGGAAUUGAGGUUUAGUUGAAUGAUGGUGAAGUAAUGUUGGACAAAAAGUGCUCUUGAGGAAGUAAUUCAUGGAGGAUGUAUUGCAUGGAAAGAAAGAUAUGGAACCACUUAUGAAAUGUCUUAUAUUUCAAUUAUUGGGAAGCACACAAGUGGUCCAGUUAAUUUUAACCUAUAUAAUAUAGAAAGCAAUAAAGUAUGCCAUUUUAGAUAAUGGAUUAUUAAAGACUCGAGUAUGACUGCUCUCUUUGUUUUUAAUUCAAAACACAAAAGAAAUGAACAAAUAACGGAAGAAAAAAAAUUAAGUAUCAGAUUCACAUACCGAAAGAGACAAAGUUACAUCUAGCGGGACCAACAUGCAUCCGUCAUUAUUUGCUUCUGAUUCUCUAGCCUGACUGUUAGAAUCCACUGCAUUGUGUCUCAUCACCUCAUGACUACUUUGUAAGGUAUUACAAUAGAGUUCCAAUCCUUUAACUUCAACAAGUUUGUUGACACUCCCAUCUCUAACUUUCCCACUAAAAGAUGGACAAAGGACAAGUAAUGAUUAUAACAUCCAAAUAUAAAUCAAAAGACUCGGAUAAGACACUAAUUAAGUAAACAAAAAUGUGUUCGCUCUAAAAGUGCUUCCAAGUGUAUUUUGCUGGAAAGUGGUUUUAGGGAAAACUUGACCUUUUUCAGCUUCAGAAAAACAACUUCAGAAGCACUUAUUUUCUCCCAAACGCUUGGUCAAACACCUCACUUUUUUAAAAAUAAGCAUUUUUAGCUUUCCAAAAGCUUGGCCAAACAGCCUAUAGAUAUGUGCAAAUUGACAGACAAAUCAACCUAAUACUUGCUGGUUAUUAUCACGGCCCACCUUUUACGUAUUAAAGGAUCCAAUUCCAAGGAAGAACAUAAGAUUAUCCUCAUCAAAUAGACUAUCUCACGCAUAAGAAAUAUGACUAGCAGAAAGAACAGUACAUUUUUUAAGCAUCGGAAAUUCAUCAAGACAAGUGACUGCAUCAAAGAAAAAAGAUACAACACCUACUCAAAAAAAUAGGGGACAGAGUCAUACCUAAUUAGUUGUCUCAUAAUUGUCAAACUUGAGAGCUUCAGACCAAACACGGUUACUGCCUGACGGAGAAGGAAACAACUGCUUGGAAUGAUGACUAAUAUAACAGAACAUUUUAGAAUAAUAUCGACACUUAAUGAAAUAAACAACAUUUCACUUAAUUCUUACAAGUAACCUGAACCAAAAAAGUUACAAUUGAACCCCCUACUCCAGUAAAGAAAUGGCUAAAGAAAGACUCAUCGCAGAAAAAGAUGUUACAGAAGACGGAGGCAAGUUCAUUGUAAUAUUUCGUUUAUACAGAAAAAAACUUGUUCGAGAAGAAUGAGUAAUACUACAUCUGGCUUAUGGAUUCUCUGUGUGAGAAAAAAGUAAAGUUCAACUGUAAAUGAUCCAAAAACAGAUAAUAUUCUGCAACUAGAGCUCUCGAGCUACUUUAAAGAUCUAAAAUUGCAUCCCCUUGGAAUAGAGAAUGAUUGUAGCCAGAAAUCUCACCAUGUGUCAUAAAAAUUUGAUAGCAAUUAUUGUUUAAGAUUCAGCUCCUUCUAUGGUUUGUUUAAAAGCCUUGGAAGAGCACAUUGGUUCAUGUUAAGAGCCGUAUAAAUGAGAGAACAAGUAGGCUGAAUGACAUGCAAAGACAAAAUAUGUAACUUUCUGCCUUCGAUUUUAGCAAUGUUAAUAAUACAUAAAAGGGAUUAAUAAAUAUUAACAUGCAAAUAACUUUUAUCCUAAGAAAAUUCAAGGUUAGAAUUCACAUCGCACUUCUGCCUAUAAAAUCUAAAAAGUUCUUUUGACAUAAGCAUCAUCUUCUUCAACUAGAGUCUAACCCGCAUCGAAAAGCACAUAAAUGGCUUCUUCCUUGAGAGACCCAUAAAUGUGUCUUACAUUUCUUUUAUUACUAGUAACACCUUUUAUGUCAAAUUUGUUUUUUGAUAAGGUAAACGUAUUUUCAUUCAUAAACAUGGCCAAAAAGCUGGCCGUAUAACAGGGGUGUAUACCAAAAGGUAAAGAAUCUACAAUAAUAAAUGAUUCUCGCAAACUCCACCCAAUCUCCUAUACAACUUGGAACUCUAUAGGUGCAGCAAAAGAAAAAAAAGGACCAGAGGCAACUCAAUUGAGAAAAACACGACUCUACACCAUCAAAAGCUCUCAUAUUUCUCUCCAUACCACCCACAUCAACGCGAGUGAAACCAUGUUUCAUGCCCUGCGUCUUCUCCUCUUUCUCCCGCUCUGACAAUUAAAUAUCACCUCUUUCGUAGUUCUUGGCAUUGCCCUUAAAAUACCAAACCACCAAAAUAUAUACUAUAUGACCUCAUGGUAAAAUCACAAUGAAGAAGAUGAUCCACAUCCUCACCCACUUCCUUACAUAUCUAAGACCAGCGGACACAAACUACUUUUUGCUUUCUAAGAUUUUCCAACAUGAAGAUCACCGCUCUAAUAGCUAACCAAGUGAAAAAUAAAACACCUUUGGAAUCCAACUACUUUACAAGGAAAAAAAUCCUCCUCCUUAACCAAAAGUUCUUUUAUAAAAAAAAGGAAUUGACCGAGAACAUACCAUUAUUCCCCGUGUUCAACCACAAAGCAUUGGGAUUAUCUACCUCUGUGACCUUUAUAUGGGGCAAAUCCAACAAUAUUGGAAACUCAAUCACCUCCCGUCACGGAAAUCCCUCCUAAAUCUAAAGUGCCAAAAAGUCUCUCCACAUUGUGUCCUAAUAUGUUGAAUUGUCAAGUCUCUUUGGCAAGAAAUUCUGUAUAGGCUCUGGAACUCAUAUUUCAACAAAUUAUCUCCACACCACCUAUGUUCCCAAAAUCUUACGCUCCUCCCAUCUCCAACCUUGAAUGAGAUGUUUAUUCUGAAUUCCCUUCAAGAUAUUCCUCCACAAAUAGCACCCAGAAGGCAUAGUCACAUCUCUAGUUUCCUAUUCCCCUUCCACAGCCCCGUAGUUAUCACUUAAGAUCUCUCUCUACAAAGCAUUAACAUACACCCCAAACCUCUAAAGCCAUUUGCCUAAAAAGGCUUUGUUAAACGCCUUUAAGUCUUUAAUGUCGAGCCCUCCCCAUCGCUCGUAUCCCAAAGAAAAUUUUCUUGGAUUUUUUUAACUUUCUUGAGACCGAAGUUGAAGCAUGAAACAAAGACAUGUAAUAAGUAGGAAUGCUCAAAAGAGUACUCUUAAUGAGCUUUUCUUUCAUCUUUGGACAGAUAGCUUUUUGGGCAACCUGUUAAUAUCUUCUCAGUCCUCCGAAGAACCAAAUUUCACACUGUAUGAUUAUUGUUUGAAGCACUUAAUGGUAAACCGAUAUAGUUAGUCAAGAGGGCUCCAAAUCCAGCAAUUCAAAACCUGAUCGAGAUUCAAUGACACCCGCCUCAACUAUGGGAAUAAUCUCGCACUUCCUAUAAAUUAACUUUAGAGCCUGACACGACUUGAAACCAACUAAAUAAUCCAAUUUGGUCCUAUUUGCAUCAAAAAAAACUGACUAUAAUCCGCAAACAACAAGUAAGAAAUUGGAAGAGUUCCAACACCCAACAACAACAUUGAAACCCUUAAUGAAUUAUCUGUGACGGCUCUAUCCAUCAUCUUGCACAACACUUCCAAUACUAUGACAAACAACAUUGGAGAAAUAGAAUCCCCUCAUCUUAAGCCCCUUAGAGCUCCCAAGAAAACGCAAGGAUUGUCAUUCACCAAAGCAAAAUAUCUCAUUAAAGAGAUGCAAGAAUUGAUCCAUUUUCUCCAUUUCUCCCAAAAAACCAUUAGCAGCAUAACAACAUCCAGGAAACUCAAGUUCACAUCAUAGGCCUUUUCAUGAUCUGGCUUGCAAAUACACCUAGCACUCCUUGCUUUUUCCUUGAAUCCACCACUUCAUUCACCACAAAGAUUGCAUCCAAAAUUCGUCCACUCUCCACAAAAGCAUUCUGGGAAAUAGAUAUAGUCUCGUACAUCACCUUCUUAAGUCUAACGGAAAGCACCUUAGAGAUGAUCUUAUAAAAGUUUGCAAGUUAAUAGGUCUAUAAUCCUUCAUGCUUGAGGCUCCCUCCCAUUUAGGGAUGAUAACAAUAAACGAUUCAAACUUUUUUCAAUAUCACCUUUAUUUUGACCGUAAUCCAACAAUGUUGAAAAAAGCCAACGACAAACUAUCAGGCCCGGAGAUUUGUCACCCACGCAACACUCGAACCCCUUUUUCACUUCUCGAUUUCCAUCUCAAGCCACACACACUCCUCCUCACUGAUGUGAUCGAAGUCUAAAUCCCCAAAUUAGGCCUCCAAGUCUCUUCGUCUUUGAACAAAACCUUCGUAAAAUUCUACUACCCCUUCUACUUCAUCCUUCCCCAAAUGCACAACCUCAUUUACCUCCACCAACUCUAUGAAAUUCUCUCUUAUUUGAUACUGCUACCCUAUGAAAAAAUUUAGCUUUUGAAUUCCCUUCCUCCAACCACAAUGCCCUCGGCAUUUGCCUCCAGCUAACCUCUUAGGCAAAGCCAACACAGCUAGGUUCCUUUUCAACCACUCUUUCUCACUCCCCUCUAACUCGCUCCCUAUUUCAUCUUCUCUAACUCCCCUAUUUUAUUCAUAACCCCCCUCAUUUUCACUUUUACCCUCCCAUAUACCUCUUAAUUCCACACACUUGUGUCUUUUUUAACCAAUUUCAAUUUCUUGGCAAGCCUAUAAGAAGGCCACCCCUCCAAUGCAUAACUCGUCCACCAACCAGCCACUCUAUCCCCAAAACCCGACACACUUACCACAUGUUUUCAGAGCUGAAAGGAGAUCUCAUAUGUCUAACUCUGCUUCCAUCCAACAUGACGGUGCAAGUGAAUGAGGCACUUGAUAAAGGCCAAAAUUCUACUUCAUCCUAGAUAGUAGGUUACAAAAUGGACAUGUAGCACAAUGCACAAUGAGAUGAGAGAGAAGCCCAGAGAAAACCUAUCAAUGAAGGAUUGCUAAAAAGCUGAAAGUUAAGGACCAAGAAAACAGCCCAACAAGCUCAAGAAUUCAAAUGGAAAGCAAAUCGACUACAGAAGGAAAUAUAAAGAUUCUCAAAGACAAUUAGGUAAAACUAUACCGAAGAUGUCAGCAUGUCACGGUAAAGAACAUGAACAUUUCUGAUGGACAACUGAAUGCUGUCAAGGAUCUGAAGAAGGAAAUGAGGAACAAAGUAUUAGAGAAGAAUGAAAAUAUGUGUAUAUAUACAACUAAGUAGCACAACCAAGCCAAAGAAAUUUGUAAGGAAAAAAAGAUCCCAGCAGGUUCAGUCAGUGCUUUUGACAAAUAAAUAAUACAACCUUUGCAGUAAUGUAUGAAGUGAAUGAGUUUCCAGCCUGACUAUCUGCAAAACCCAAAAGAUUUUUUAAGAAGUAUACAAAAGAACAUCGAAAAUUAAACAUACAAACAUCAACGUAUUGAUCUCUACUAAGAACCCAUUUUGCAUCGCUCAAAAUUCACAAUUUGUCAUACAAAAUUUUAGUAACUGUAAUACCCAUAUUAAGAAAAAAAAAUAUGUGAGUUAUUAAUGGACAAAUUAUUUCUUUUUGUUUUAAUUAAAUCAACUGCUGCAAAUAAAGAAAAUAGAAAGUUAAUGGGCCAUAGCUCAUAACUCACGUGAUAAAAAAAAGCUUUUGAAAAAAAAAAAGGAAAAAGACUGGGUAUAACCUCUCUGUUUAAAGGAAAGCUGGGAAGAGAAAAAAACCCAUCGCACGAGGCUUAUAAUUAAAAAGAGAAGGAGGAAAAAAGGUAAGUUUCUGAUCUUGAAUUAUAUAUUUUAUUGUAUAUUCCAUGACUACAGAUUGGGUUUCAGAAUUGGAGAAUCAUGAGUUAAAGAAACAGUGAAACUUGCUCAGGAACUAAUGGAGUGCAUUUAAUUAUUAGACUAUAAGUUUUUGUAUAGUGGCAUAUAUGAAGUAAUAGUAGACGGGCAGUAAGGUUUUGUUGGCUAAUUACGAUGAAAAAUUAAUCAAGCUGAGGCUGUUUUGUGUGGUUAAAGCACCAAUUAGGUGACUGGACAGAUUUCGAGUCCUUCAUGGAACCUCUAGGGCUGGGUAUCUUAAUGUAGUAUGAAAUAGCAUGUAUUAAGAGGUUAACACGAAGUUAUGAAUGUGAUUAUAGAUUGACCAAUGGAAUUCAUACGGAUUACUAGAGUAACGAGCUUGGUAUUUCAAAUGAAAAUACUGAGUAGUAAUCUUACCAUAAUGUGUUUUGUAACUUUCAUGAUUUAUACGUGGUUUAUAAAGUGAAUGAUUUUACCAAAAUGUUUUGAACUUGCAUAUGGGACAAGACUUUUCCUUGAUAAGAUACCGAAAUAGUUAUUUGAGAUGAACUCAUUUUUAUAAGAUAUAUUUAUUGCUACUUGAGAUAUGAUUACCGUUAACGAAAUAGUUCCAUUUACAUUGAGAAAUAGCAUUUUGACAUAUGUUUUGAUCAAAGAUUUAUAUACUACGAUUUGAUAAGAACUUGAAUGUCGUACACCCUUUUGGAAAUGUUUCUAUUGAUUACAAGGAAAAGUAUAAACGGGAGUAGACCUUGAUGAAUCCCGUAGCAGCGGGUUCAUUAGACCUGCUGCACCUUGCAGUUACAGAUUACAAAUAAAGCCCUUGCUAGUGGGAAGGUAGAACUAGCAAUGCAGUCACCGAUAUCCCUCGAGUAGGGAUCUACCAAUAUGAAUAAAUAACUCCCUUAUGAGGAGUUCACCGUUAUUGGUUUACUUCUACAUAAUUCAUCUUUGGACACCUCCCAAACAUAAGAUUGAUAUGAAAGUGUUCCUUAGAAUUUAUUUCUAAACUAGUAAAAUUACUCAUGCCUCGUGUGGGAAUUUAGUAUCAUGAAAUUUAUAAAAUAACUAGGUAAAUUACACAUUUUAUUAAACUUACAUAUGAUUAUUCGGUAAUAUGACCGACAGUAAUGAUUAAGUUUCAUGGAAAGUGAGGAAUGAAAAAGGUUCAUUAGAAGUUUAAUUAAUGUAUUUCAAUUCGAUUACUCUAUAGCAAAAAAGAAAAUACAAUAGUGGCAGAAAUAAAAGUUUUGUUUACGAAAAAACCAAAUGUAAUAAAUUCAACCAUUUCAACAACGAUAUGAAUUGUGGAAUUAGAGGUGCAAAAGUAGUAACGUGACAUUGCAAUCGAAAUCAAUUUUCUUUGUUAAUACGAAGAAACCUGUAGAAAGGGACAAAAGAGAAGAUCAAUUUUCAAUUAUCUUCUAAGAAACUUUUAACAAAGUUAAAAGAAAAAUGUCACCAAAAUAGCAAAAAGAGUUGUCAUACUUACAUGAAUCACACGACUUAUAAUAAAGAUUAAGCUCCAUGAAAUAGGAGGAUGAAAACUUUUAGGAAUGAAACAAACUUCAUAAGAAGCUUAAUCAAUGUAAUUGAAUUCAACUAUCCAAUGGAAAAAACCUUCAAAUAAUAGUGGCAGCAACUCCCUCUAUUUAUAGAUAACAUAGGGUAGUGUGAAUAAAUAUUUAUUGUGCCUUAUCGGAAAGGUCACAACUCUUUGGAAAAGUUGCAACCAUUUGGAAAGGUCACAACCUCUCAUAAAAGUCACAAUUUUCAUAAAAGUCGCAACUCUUCAUAAAAGUUGCAACUCUUCAUAAAAGUUGCAACUUUUUAUAAAAGUCACAACUCUUCAUAGAAGUCGUAACUAUUCAUAAAAGUCGUAAUUUUUCAUAAAAUUCACAAUUUUUCAUAAAAGUCACAACUAAUCAUAAAAGUCACAUAUUUUCAUUAAAAUCGCAACUCUUCAUAAAAGUCACAAUUUUUCUUGAAAAGGGAAGGCUAGUGUUGGAAAUAAAUAAAUUUAAAAGGGAAUUCUGGUUUGUGGUGAUGCCACGUAGGCGGACCUAAUGUUUUCUUUUAUAUAUAUAUAUAUAUGAGAUAUAUGAUACUUAAACUUAUCGGUCAUUAAAACUAAACCACUACAUUAUCUUACCAUUACAUAGUAACUAACAUUAAUAAUGAAAAGCAAAACGAAAAUUAUAACAAUCUUGUCAUUUAUCCUUUAUAUCAUAAGCAUAAAUUAAUGAUUGUAAAAAUACAUACCAGCGAUCUGUAACAAUAAAAUGAAACAUAAAGAAAAAAUCGAGUCCACUGAAUGCACAGGGGAUAGUAUCCCCUUAAGAAAACUAUUGAGGUUUAAAGGAAUAGAUCCUCUCAGGAUCAAACGAUUUUAUAAACCAGUGUAUUUAUAAAAAAACUGGUGUUAGUGAGCCACUCAAUCGGAGCAAAGUACAGGAAUAUCUAGUUGUGCAGAAGAAGUAGUAGUUCCGAAUUUUGUUGUUUCAAAAUGAGAGAAAAUCUCUCUAUUUAUAACAACAAAGGGUAGUGUGAACAAACAUUUAUUGUGCUUAAUUGAAAAGGUAACAACUAUUUGGAAAAGAUGCAACCCUUUGGAAAGGUGACAACCUUUCAUAAAGUCGUAACCCAGCCCAAGAAGCUGCUGCUGAGCCCGUAGAGACUGGAGCCAAGCCUGGAAGGGCGAACCAAGGAACUCAGACUGUGGAGCAGCAACCUGUGAUCCAUUCGGUUAACCACAUGUUCUUUUUACUCGCGAAAAUGGUGCCUUUAAAGCAAACUAAGAGCAGGGAAGGGACUAUGGCCGGCAUAAGCUCACCAAUUAGGAUGCGUCAGGCUCAUGACCUGAAGAUUGCAGGUUCGAAUCCUGUCCCCGCCUAAUCAGUGGAACAUUGUUCACCGGGAUAGAAGGCCGGUCCCAACCCGUCUACAAAAUGGGGCUAGUGUUCAGUCUUGGUUGGUUCCACCUCUUUGCAGGGUGAUGACACCAGUAGCUGUGGAGCACAGAUGACCAUUUCUGUCACUAUUGAAUUCCAACUUAGAGCUCCUUUCCUUACAGUCAAGUGGCUUUCACUCCUUCUACUCUAAACUACUGUGUGCCUAUUUGGAGCUUUUCACAGCCAAAGUCAAAGGUUUGUUGGUGGCAAGAUCGGCAUGCCUUCUAGUUGUAGUUGACUUUAAGCGCACCUGAACUACCCAUAGUCGUCUAUUUACGGGCUUGCACUCAAUAGUCAAUCAAUUCGUUUUUCCGCUUUCUAUCGCACGCUUCAACUAUUUGUUUAUAUAGUGUGUGAAGUCUAACUAAUGGAAAGUGCCUAUGAAUGAGUUCCAAGAAAGCGGCCGUUCACGUCAGGAAUAGAGGCCGUUAAGGAUGUACUUGCUUUUCCUUUUUUUCGUCGAGAUUGGGUUGGUGUGAAGUGUACCGCUUGUCUAGCCUAUGCUUUGCAAGCCUACAUAGGGUACAAGAUCGAAAAGAAUGCAUUGGAUGGAUGCCCGGGCAUUGAGAAGGAAGGACGCUUUCAGAGGCGAAAGGCCAUGGGGAGAUACCGUCUGUGAUCCAUGGAUCUCCGAUCGGGAAACCGUAUCCAAGCUCCGUGGCUAGUCUGCGCUCUUUGGACUUUUCAAACUUAGCGAACUGAAACAUCUUAGUAGCUAAAGGAAGGGAAAUCAACCGAGACCCCGAACUGGAAGAUCAUUUCGAGAUCUUCGAACAUAUUCGAGGGUUCAAUGUUACUAUUGUAACUUCGGCCAACACACAAGAUGAAACUUUACCACCGUGGAGCGGCUUUUUGCAAAAAGAUGAGGGGGAAACUCAGUAAGAUGUCGGAGAAGCGAAAUAUACGAGAUCACAAACGUAGAUUGCUCGCGGCUAGGCUAAAUAUGAAUUGAGACGAAAGCUUUAUAAAGCCCUUUGUAAAGAUCCCGAUCUUCCUAGUGAUAUGCGGGACAAACAUCGUUCUAAGUUGUCCAAGUUGCCAAGAAAGAGUUCCUUUGCACGAGUAAGAAACCGAUGUAUUUACACGGGUCGCCCUCGUUCCGUAUAUGAGUUCUUCCAAAUUUCUCGUAUCCUUUUUCGUGGAUUAGCAUCUCGAGGUCCUUUGAUGGGCAUAAAGAAAUCGUCUUGGUAGAGUUAUCCGUCUCCCCUGCCCUGUUAGAACAGUCUGGUCUAUGGAUCUCCUCACAGCAACCUCCACUACGAUAGAAACCGACAAUGAGUUUACGAAGGCUUCGAGUAGUGCGGGAUAGGCUAAUCACCAGACUGCUCUGGAAUAGGUUAAUCACUGGAGACAAGAACGAGUGAAUCUAGUUUCGAGAGCAUGCCUUACUCUAAUAGGGGGCGUAGAGUUUCUAAGUGAAGGCAAGCGCAACUAUAUAUGUAAUAUCCUAGCUGUCAGCAAGGCAGGUCCGCUAUAAAGCCUACCGGCCAGAAAGUCCUUAAGAACGAGAAAGCCGACUAAAAGGCUAUUCCAUAACCGACUCUUGUUGCCAAGUCGAGGGGGCGUUCAGCCACUUGACUGUAAGGAGAGGGGGCUUGGCUGGUACCAGGCUCUAAAAGAGUUUUCUUCGAGCGAGCGGUCUUUCUAUCUUUUUGGGUUGCAUGCCCAAGGCAAUGCUUUUUGUAGAUUGAGAUGGAUUGAUCUUCGCUAUCGUGCCUCCUCCUUGUACCAGUUGAUGCUGGGGCAGUGCUUAAUAUGAGUUUUCUCCUGCCCCAGACAGCUUCGAGGUUCCCAUCGAUUACAGAGGUUUCUACCACUAAACUUGCUUAUGCUCCCCUUUGAUCGAGUGCUAUUUCUAUAAAUA